rnacentral:lncRNA from 1 species
AGGAUUCAGUUUAGGAUUUGAUUAGGAUUUGGUUUGGAGUUUAGGAUUUGGAUUAGGAUUUGAUUUAGGAUUUAAGAUUUAAUUAGGGUUUGGUUUAGGGUUUAGAGUUUGGAUUAGGGUUUGAUUUAGGAUUUAGGAUUUGGAUAGGGUUUGAUUUAUGAUUUAGGAUUUGGUUAGAGUUUGGUUUAGGAUUUGGAUUAGGGUUUGGUUUAGGAUUUGGUUAGGAUUUGGUUAGGAUUUAGGGUUUGGAUUAGGAUUUGGUUUAGGAUUUGAUUAGGAUUUGAUUUAGGAUUUAAGAUUUUAUUGGGAUUUAAGAUUCUAUUAAUUUGGCUUAAAGUUUGAAUGAAGUUCAAUAGGAUUUUAACUAUAAUUAAACUAAGAUUGAAUUGAGAUGUAUUUGAAUGACAUUUGUGUUCUUUCUAAUGUUUCUUUAAAAAUUCCUAUUGUUUGUUUGAAAUUUCUUUGAGGUUUUUUUGAAUUUGAUUAAGCUUGCUUAGCAUUAUUAUAAUCUAAUUAGAGUAUUAUUAAUAUUCUAUUAGAAUUAAGGUUUUGUUAUUACAAUUUCCAUUCUUCCUUCCACAACCAAGUGCCCGAAGCAUUCUCAAGCCAGACUUCACGUAUUACGACACCAUGUAUAUAAAUCACAAGAACUUUAAUUAUUUCAUAUCAGCUCAUAUUUUGAAUUAUUGCUAAGCUCAUUGGAGCAUGUCUCUAUGAAGAUUUGAAUUCAAUAUUACAUAUCAGCUAAGAAAAUAAUAAAAUUUAUCUGAUUCUUUUUUUGGAUAUUCUUAUUUUAUAUCUAAAGAAAGAAAUGCAGCUUUUGAUCAACAAUUGAUAAUUUUAUUGAAGCCAAAAUAAUUUCAUCUUUGAGUAGUGAAAUCAACAUUGACUAUUGAUUCAACUUUUCUCAAACAAAUUCAAUAAAGUAUGUCCUCUAAUCUUCUUACUCAUGAUAUCAAGAAUACUUCUUCUAAGGCUUAUAACACUUCUAAGUUUGAGUUCAAAAAUAGCCUACUUUAUUUCAAAAGAUGCCUAUAUGUACCAAACAGAGAAGCACAUUCACAAGUUCUUCAAACAUGUCAUGACUUUCUAACAAUAGGAUAUUUUGGAUAUAAUAAGACCUUCAAGUUAAUAUCUAAAGAUUUUUGGUGGCGACAAAUAUAGAAGGCUGUAAAAGAUUUUGUUCAGUCAUGUGACAUUUGUUCAAGGUCAAAAACUCCUUGUCAUUGAUCUUAUGGACUUCUUUAGCCAUUACCUAUUUCAGAAUAUCCAUGGUCUUUUAUUUCUAUGGAUUUUAUUACAAAUCUUUCGGUCUCAAGCUUAUAUCAUUUUAUAUUUAUGAAAGUAGUUUUUUUUUUUUUUUUUUUUUUUUUUUUUUUUUUUUUCGAAAUGGCAUAUUUUAUAUUAUACACAAAAUCUAUCUUUAUGUGAAAAAAAUGCCAAGCUUUUCUUUGACAAUAUCUAUUGAUAUCAUGGAUUGCUAAAAGAUAUUAUAUUAGAUAGGAGGAUUCAAUUUGUAUCAAGAUUUUGGAGAAUUCUUUUUAAGAUUCUAAAGGUAGAUAUAAAGCUUUCCUUGGUCUUUCAUUCUCAAACUGAUGGAAAAACAGAGCACAUAAACCAAGUUUUGGAGUAAUAUUUAAGGUCUAUAAUUAAAUAUCAAGAAGAUAAAUAGAAAAUCCUUUGCCAUUGAUAGAAUUAGCUUAUUAUAAUACAAUACAUUUUUCUAAGCAACAAAUAUUUUUUUUUGCCAAUUAUGAUUACCAUCUACAACUUGAUACUUUUGACUUUUCAAAAAUUGAUAAUCGUGCAUAAAAAGGUUUAAAAAAAUAUUUGUUUAAACUACAUGCAACAAUGAAGGCGUAAUCAAAGGAAGCUCAAGAAUGACAAAAAAUCAAUGCAGAUACUUAUCAAAAAGAAUAACUAUAAUUGAAUAUAGGUGAUAAGAUAUGGUUACUUCAUCAUAAUACCAAGUUUACUCAUUCUUGUGAUAAAUAAGAUAUUGGUAAAAUAGACUAAUAGUCCAUAGAAUAGUUAAUUCAGGAAGACGGAUGAUUGAUUUAGUUAUUAAAAGUGGUUAAUUAUAGGAUUAUGAUUAGAAUCUGGAAAUCAGGAGCAAUUAUAUAGGAGUUGCAGAAGUUUGUUGGAGUACCAAACUAUAAUAGUCAUGAGCCGGGGUAAGCUUGGUGCUACUUCUUUGUUUCUUUGUUUCUUUGUUUUUUUUGUUGUUGAAGAGUAAUGGAUAGUUUUUGAAUACUGAGAAGUGAGUCUGUGGAAUAAAUCAGAGAUUGAUUUAUGAGUUAUUGAUUAUGUAAUUGGAGUACUGUGUGAUUGAAUUAUAUGAGAAGUUAUUGGAAGAUUAUAAUUGUUGUUUAUUGAGAGGUGUGUAUGUUUCGACAAAAGAAGUCUGUGAUUACAAAAAUUAUGUGAAUUCAGAUUGGUUGGAGUGAAGUCUAUUAUUCUUGGUAUUAGAUGGAAAUUAUGUCUUUUGAGAGUAUAUGAUUGCACACUAUUGUUAUUAGAUGAUGAAGGAGUAUUGUUAGUGAAAGAAAGCAUUGUAGCAUUUCUUAGUAUUUUAGUGGUUAAAAAUACAAUUAAUUGUGUGACCCUAACAAGUAAAACUCAUGCACUUAGUCUUUUCCUAUGUUCGAAUUCCCAUAUACAUGUUUAUUUUGAAAGGAAUUUGUAGAAUAAAUAAAAUGAUAAUCACACGAUAGAAUCGAUUUAAAGAUCCUAAAGAACGACAUGUACUUCUUCAUAUAGAUGGCAAGAUACAAUGUAUUUGGUAUGACUACCUUCGAAGGAAUUCUCGAUGUUUGGUGAUUUUAUUAGAGGUAGGAAGAAUUCUUGAUAGUGUUUCAAAUAUUUUAUUUGAAGGAAGUUAUAAAGGCCUCAACAAUGAUCAAAUAACUUGAUGGUCUUUUUACCUUAGUAUGGAACAUUAUCGAUGGUUAAGAAGCCCUAUCAACUAUCUUCGAAGAGAAUAAAGAUCAGAGUAUGUGACAAAUACAAUUUGACUCAUGAUGAUUAUUUUUUGUGGAACUCAUUUCUAAAAGGGAGGAUAAUAUCAUGGACAUAAACAUGUAAAUCAAUAAUUACCUAUAUGAUUAAAUAAAAAUAGGUAAAAAUAGGUUAAUUCCAUAAUAUCUUCUAUAGAAGCUUCCUAAGAGCUUCAUAGACAUUGUUUUGAUUUUAUAAGUAUCUACAAUUGACUUUUUAGGUUAGAAACAAGGUCAACAAGUUGGCCAUGUGCGACAUAUGUUGGUAGCUUGAAGAAUAAGCUAAUUAUAUGGCCCACACAUAGAAAAAUUGCCUGUAAGCAAAGGCAUGUGCCCUGCAAAAUCAACACAUAUUAGAGGUCCUAUAGAACAUUGCCAUAUAGUUCCCAAUUAGAUAGUAUAUAUAGACGUAAAAGUUAAUCGUUCUUCACUCUUGUCAACUUUUUUAUUGCUUCUAGUUUAGAUUUAAGAAUCUCUCAUUUUUUUUGUCUUUUGGCAAUAGUCAUUCUAAUUUAUUUUUAAUAUAUAUAUUACUUUAUUAUUAUUUUGUUACUUUUCUUUUAAAAUAAAUUUCCCAGAUUUAUACAUCUUCUUCCGAUUUAUGUCUUUGAUAGUAUUAUAAAACAAAAGACAUGCUUGCUAAUUUUUUGACAAAGGCAUUAAUAAAAGAUAGACAUCACAUGUUGACAAAGAUAUUAAGAUUAAAAGCCAUUAACCAAUAGAAAAUAGGAGAGUUAAAGUAAAUUAAUAAAAAUAAAAUAAAUUACUUUAUAGAAGAUUUUAUUUUAAGUAAGUUACCAAUGGUCAAAAGAUUCAUUCUUGAUAUAUGAAAAGGGUAUUCUUUGUAUAUAAGACGAAAUCAAGGGUGAAGAGUCAAGUUGAAGAAAAUAAAGAAUCAAAUAGAAAAUAUCUAAGGACUUAGUAAAAAUAAUUAAUAUUUGGCAUAGGAUAUCCUUUCGGUUAAUGAUAUGCCAAAGGAUCCAAAGACUAUAUAAUACACUUGUAGUAAGUUAGAUGCCAAAGGAUCCAAAAUUCAUGUGUAUAAAAGUCAAAUAAUAGAAGUUAUCUUUUACGGCAGCAGAUACGACCUAUAAGUAAUAGAUAGUGGAAGUAAGAAUCAUCUUACUCCAUAUUCUCUUUGUAAGCAACUUUGUUAAUGCUAUGUAUUGUAUCAUCAAAGUUCUUUUUUCUUCAAUAAUAUUAGCUUAGUUGAUAUUUUUUUAUUAAUAUAAUUUUUUUAAAUAUAUAUAUAUAUAUAUAUUUAAAAUCUUAUUUUAUAAAUUUUAAAAUACUAUAUUAUGUCUUUAAUUGCAAAAUUUUAAUAAAAAUCUUGCAUUUUUAUUUUUAAUAAUUGAUUAUAUGUUUAUUAUUUUCUUAAAAAAUAUAAAUAAUAAAAUAAUAAGAUAUCUAAAAUUAGACUCGAAUAAAAAUAAUUUAAAAAAAAUAUAAUAUAGGUUGAUUACAAUCUUUCUAAGUGAUACAAUAAUAAGCUUAUAAAUAAUCAAAUUAUUAUUCUAUUCUAAUUUCAAUUUUUUCUCAUCAAAUAAACAUUCUAUAUUAUAUUAGUAUUCUUUUGUUUUUAUUUGUUAUUCUUUAUAAAGCACUUAGUUCACCUAUUAGAUUUUAUAGGAUGUUUAGGUAGACCAUUUUUAAGAGCCCAUCUAUGGUUUGAUCAAUUUUGAAAGAAUUUUGAAAAGUUACAGCAAAUUCGUCCAAUUCUAUAACUUUUAUUUUUCCAAAAUUAUGUUCCUGAAUUUUGGUUUUUAUUUUUUCCAGUAAAAUUUAAAUAUUAAAUUUUAUGAAAUUUCUCUUUGAUGUGUUUUUAAAUAAUUUUUAGUAUUUUUGAAUAAUCUAAAUAUUUAUUUUAUAUUUAUUUCUUAAAUAUAAAACAUCAAAAGAUAUUAGAUAUAUCUUAAUCAUGAUUAAAAAUACAAGGUAAUAUUUUGAUCUAUUAUUCUAAAUUUAUUUUAAGCAGUUCUUGCUAAAAUUUGACUAAUUUUUAAAUAUAUAAGAUGACCUUUUCAUACAAUUCGAAUCGUAUUUUAGUUCAUAUUGGAAAAUAAAAAAAUAAAAUAAAAUAAAAAUAACCUAAAAAACCUAAAAUAUUUUAUGUUCCUAUCACAUUAAUACUUAACAUCCUUCAUUGUCUUUAUGAUUCUUACCAAUAUCUGUCUAGCAAUACUCUAAUAAUUCUUUUUAUGUUUAUAUUGCUUCUGAAACAGAUGUACAAGGUACAAAUAUUUUAUGGUUUGGUUAUUAUCAAGAGAAUUUUAACUAUAAUUAAGAAUCAAAGACCAAUAGCCUUUGUUUAUGGUUUCUUAGAUUUAUUGUUGAGUUUUGAUCUAUAUCAUAUUUAUUGUUGCCUCUACAUUUGAUAUGCUCAAUUUACUUAUUUAAACAUAUUUUUAAUACUUAAAACUUCGUAUAUUUCUUAUAUUCCUUUACUUUAGCAUUUAAUACAUUAUUCUAUCACUUUUUUAUUACUGUAUUUAUAUCCUAUUGCAAUUCAUGAAUAUAAACUAAUUGCAUUGCUGGUUGAUUGGAUUACUUAUUUUACUUACUUUCGAUCUUUAAAAGUUUAUCGCCAUUAUUUUAGAAGUACAUAGAGAUCAUGUAUAGUACAGUACUAACUUUGAUGUUUUUUUUUUCUUGAGUUUUUUCUAAUUUUUAUAAUCUAUGGUUCAUGCAAAACUUGUGUUUUAUAACCCAAGGCAAAGGGAUAAUUUUAAACAUUGAUUUUGGUUAUCAAACUAUAUUUUAAUCUCAUUUUUGUAAGCAUCAAUUUUUUGUUGUUGUUAAAGGUAUAUAUGACCCUAACAACCUUAUUUAACUUGAAGAAAUUGAAUUAAAGAAAUAUAAAAAAAGAUCUAGUUGUAGGUAGACAUAAUAUUAUGCCAAGAAAUAAAUUAUUGUUUAAGGUUAAAAAUAUUUCAAAAGUAUUUAAGAAAUAUAGAGUUAAAACUUUAAAAAUUAUAAAUAGAAAGAAUAAAGGAAAAACAUAGAAAAUUGAGAAAGAUCAUACAACAAAAAAGAAAGAUAGAUGUGAAGGAAGAGUAUACAAAGAAAGAAAGAUGAUUAGAUAGUACAGGGUAUUAGAAAAAGAUGAUAUUUCAAUAAGGCCUAAAAGUAAAUAAAAUUCACUUGUAAUUUUAAUUUUUAAAUAAAAUUAAUAUAAAAAAUUAAGUCUAAAUGUUUGCUUUAUUAAUUAUAUAUUAUGACUAAUUGAUACAAGUUAAGUGUAGUUUUAGAAAUAAAUAUUUAAAUAAUAAUAAUAAUAAUGAUAAUAAUAAUAAUAUUCUGAACUUUAAUUUUUUUAGGAAGAAUAAAUAAAAAAUAUUAAGAAGUAAUAUUAUUUAUUUAACUAAUUAAAAUUUAAUAUUUAUUUGACUUAUAUAAUAUUUUUAAUAUACUAAGAAAGUAUUUUUUUUUUUUCUUAUUUACCACAAUUUUAAAUAUGUUGUAAAGACAAAAUAUAUGUUAGUAUAAGGAGGUGGAAAAACAUUUUUUAUGAUGCAAUAAUGCUUUUUGUAUAGAUAAGUAGAGCUGAGUUAAAAUAAGAAAUUUAUUAUACUAGUUUGGUAUAAAGCUUAAAUAUAAGAGAUAUUAAUAAAGUAACGACAACUUCUCUAUAAUAUACUAAUUAGAAACUAUGAUUUUUUAACAAGUAGUCAGUACAUAGUCUAAUUGUAGAUAGUUUGAUUCAAUGACUAGGUAAAAAUUAACUUCAAUAGCAUACAGUAAUCAAACAUAUAAUAAUAUCUAUAUUUUCUUUAUCAUCAAUCCAAUGUACACUUUUGUAGCUAUUCACUUUUAUGUUAUUACUACCAAGACACAACUUGAGCUUUAAUAUGACCUUUAACUACUAAUCAUUCUUAUAAGUGUUUUUUUUUUUUUUUUUUUUUUUUUUUAAUUUUUCAAAUUAGCUUUAAAAAUACAUUAAAUCAUAAGUAAUAUUUUGUGUGUAAGAUCUACUCUUAUACCUAUUAUUUUAUAUAUUAGAGAGUCUAACAUUGCUUUAUGUAUAAAAAUAUUAUUUUAACUAUAACUGGUACAAAUGUUUUAGAAAAUAAGAUAGAAUACCAUUAGAUUUAAUUUUUAAUUUUUAAUUUUUUUUGUUGAAGUGUUAAGUUACUUCUUUGAUGCAAUUUCUUUGACUUUUGUAAAAUAUUGAGCUUGGUAUAAUUUUUUUAUUAUUCAAAUUUAUUUUCAUGACAUAACUUUCCAAAGUCGUUUUUUUUAAAGUCUUACAAAUACAGACUUUAUUUACGCUUUCUCUAUUUUAUUUAUUUAUUUAUUUAUUUAUUGGCUAAGUUGAUUGAAACUUCUAUAUAAAAAUCAUAACUUAAAAGAGUUGUCUAAAUUGCAUGACAUACAAAUAAAAGAUCCACUUCAUUAUUUAUUAAACUUUUAUUAACAUUAAUGCAUUAUUACAAUAUUGUGGAUCUAUGUCUGAAGCCAUGCCACAAUUUUACUUGUAUUCAAAAAAAUUCUUUGCUUUCUUAUACAAAUCUAAUACUCUUGUCCAUAUACAAGUAUAUUUUUGAAUAUAUAAUUCCUUAUCCAACUCUUUCUUUAAGAAGAUUUUCUGUAUAUCCAUUUCAUUCAUUUUCAAGUCUAUUCCUACUUUAAUUUCUAAUAUUGUCCUAUUGGUAGUAAAUUUUGAAAUAAAUAUAAAUAUCUUAUUAUAAUCCACAUCAAGCACUUAUAAGUAUUAUUUGGAAGCUAAUCUUGUCUUAAGUUUCAUAAUUAUACUUAAUGGUAGUAUUUUGGUACGAAAUAUUGACUUAUAUUCUAUUUGUACAAUUUGGAGAUAAAUGAGUAAAUUUUUAUAUACUAUAUAGUUUUUUUUUUUUUUUUUUUUUUUUUUUUUUUUUCUUUUAAAAUCUUCUCCCACUUAUUUUCAAUUGCAAAAAAAUGACUUUACAAAAUAUAAACAAAAUAGAAAAAAAUGACAUCCCUAUGUAUUUUAUAGAUUUAUAAAAAAUGGAUUCUUCUAUGACUUUUUAUGUAACUUUUUUUUAUUUAUAAAAUAUCAAAGUGGGACAAAUAAGCAGGGCACCACUGAUGUGUGUACAUUGCAUUUAUUACUAUUUUUGUCUGAAAUUCAUGGCUUAUGUGUUAAAUAUGUAAAAUAUUCAUUGACAUGUCUAUAAUAAGACAAUUAAUACAUUCUAUAAUUUUAUUUUGUUGAACACUAUAUAGCAUGGAAAUUUUUCUUCUACUGAUUGUAUCAUCCAAAUCCUAAAAAAUCUCUUUGAUUAAAACUCGCUAUCUGUGUCUAUGCACAAUGACUUUAUAUGGACCUAGAAUUGUUUUUCUACAAAAGUUUGAAAGUCUAAAACAUUUGUAAUGUAAUUAAUAUUAAUAUCAAGUAAAUAAAUCAAAAAUUUAUCUUAGAAAAAUGCUAAUACAAAUUUAAAAUAAAAAUGUGGUUUGGACAAGUUAAAAAACAUUAAAAUGCAUUAUCUCCAAACACCUUGGUGGUUCUUAUAAUUCCACCAUUUAUAAAUGAAGUCAUUUGCUACUUAUUCUCAAUACAUUUUUCACAAGUAUAUGUCUUUUGUAUUUUAGUUCAAAUUCAAGUUAUUUACUAUGCUUUGAAAUUCUUUUGUGCUACUUCCUUUUACAUAGCUAAGAAAAUAAUAAAAUUUUAUAAUUUUUUCUUAAUAAGAUAGAAAAUCAAUUAAUGAAACAAUGUCUUAUCUAUUCACCUUCUUAUAAAUGACCAGAUAUUAAUUGUUGAAUCUUGUAUAUGGGACUAUUAAUUUUCUAUUUAAAAUUUAUAUUAUAUUAGUAUUUACCUAAAAAAAACCAUAAAAUCUCUUAUAAUAGUUUUAUUCAUGAAAAAUACUUUUGACUCUAUUUUAGGUAGACAUAUAUUUAAUCUUCUUCUUUUCUUUUCUUUUCUUUUCUUUUUUUUUCAUUAUAGAAUAUUAACAAUAAUAAAUUUUAAUCUAAUAGCUUUGAUUAUGCCAAUUUUUUUAUAAGUAUCUUUAUGCAUAGAAUAUAUUCAUAAAUGUCAAAUAAGAAGUGCAAUGGUAAUAUAUAUAUAUAUAUAUAUAUAUAUAUGUUAAUAUAUAUAUAUAUAUAUAUGUUAAUAUAUGAGUCCCUUAAUCUAAGUCAUAAGCCAUAAAACUUCUUCUAUUUGUCAAAAAUAUACAAUCAUUUAUUCUAAAUUCAUAUAUUACAUUUUUGAUAUAUUCUCUUCAAUUGCUUUGCCUUGUACUUUAAACUGAAACAGGUUGCUUAGAGUGUUGCUUAGAGUGUCGUUUAGAAAUAAUUUCUUUACCUUAUUUUGUAAGAAGAAUCAAAUCUUUGACUUGAGACUACUUGUGCUGGUUUUAUUUUAUUUUAUUUUCUUUUUCUUUUUCUCUCUCUUAAUCUUUGUAUUAUAUAAUCAAGUACAAAAUCUUUAAAAUUAAUAGAUUCACCAAUAAUAUUGCUCCAUUAUUUGGAUAUUUACACUUUUUGAUAGAAGAUCUUUAGAGUUAUCAGAAAUGUUCUAAAACUUAAUCACAAUUUUAUUUCUUCCUAAUGAUAGAAUUUGGAUCAACAAAAUUUAUUAAUAAUCUUCAAAUUCUUACCUUCAUAUGAUACUAUGUUUAAUGCACUAAAUAUAUAUAUAUAUAUAUAUAUAUAUUGAAUUUAUAAUAUAAUAGAUGUUUUGGAACUUAGAUAGUUUCCUUAAGAUCUAAAAAUAGUCACUUUCACUUUUGAAAACUAUCAAAAUUUGGCAUUGACUUCAAACACUAUCUCUUUGUUUUUAAUUUAUUGAAUAAUAUCUUAAAGUUUCUACAAGUCCUAAAAAAGCUCUUUAAACUUUGAUUAUAACAUUCUCUUAAGAUAUAAUUUUAAGUAUAAUUCUUAAGAAAAUGUUAUAAUCAAAGUUAUAUUUUAAAAUUACUUACACUUUGAUUGACUAUACAUACAGUUAAGGAGUUAAGGGGUAAUGAUUCACUCUAUUCAUCUUCUUUAAUGGUAUGUUCUUCAAAACACAUAAUAUUUAUAUAAAGUGUCUUUAACAUUUAAUUUAGCAAGUAUUCUUAAAUCUUUUAUUAAAAACGGUACAAUAACACAUAGUUUUUACUUUCCAAAACUCACAAAUAAUUAUAUAUAUUUAUAACAAUAAAUUAACUUUGUUUUUUCCAACUACUAAACUUUAUCAAAAGUUAAAAUUCCAAGCAUAUUUAAUGGUUAUAGAGUUCCUACUAUUCAUUGCCACAUCGACAUACUGCUUCCCCUCUGUGCUCUUUGCAUGAUGACUAAAAAUUCUUUCUUUAUUCAUGGUAUAAUCCAGAUCAUGCCACUGCCUCUUCUUUCUUUGCUGCACUUGAAGAUGGAAGAACAGUUUCAAUCCAUUGCUUGCAGACUUUAACUUACGAGCAAACUUGAUUAACAUGCCAAGUUUCAGAGAUAAUGCACGUUAUCUUCACAACAGCCUAAGCUAAUUUGAGCCUAACCACGAAGGAGUUUUGAUGCACAUGCUAGAAUCGUCUAUUACGUAGCCAUCUCAAUGUUACAAGAAUGAUAAUAAAACUCACAAAAUGAACCAUGUUUACACGAUGAGCGAACAUAAUUUUAUUUAUGAAAUGUGGGUAUUAUAGACAUCAUCACUCUGGCAGCAUGGGAGGUCACCCAUCAACACCGCAUAAUCAAAGAACAACCUGAUUUGGCUUGAAGUAGCGACUGGCUCCAAAUGUGCAAUUACAUCACUGCAAGAUCACGUUACUAUUCAGCACUUUCAGAAAAUUUGGUGAACACCCCCAGUUGAUCUAGACGGGCACCCGCUUUGCCGAAGAAUCCUACAACUCCAGUUGCAGGAGUCUCAAACUCUUGGCCGCUGGGAACACCGUAAGGACCAUAUGUUUGCUUGUUCGUGACGAAGGUUAGCGAUGUCACUGCAUCGGAUGUACGUGAAGGAAUUGGUCCAUAUGUACCCUUCACUUGCAACAGAAACUCCUCUGGGAAUUCCAGACAAAGCUGCCCACACAGAGCGAAACAAAGUGUAAGCAUUCACAUGGGAGGUUGAACGCCAAUCAAUUGUAAUGGAGCAGCAGCUCCACAGAAUGUUAGAUUGUCGUUCGUGUCAGAUCAAAAUCAGGUUUAGGAGUAUAUACCUUGCUGGAUUCUUCACCUAAAUUUUUGCCUAUCCCAAUUUGGGAUUUCCAGGAGUCUCCGCCUGCGCCACCAUGAGGAGCGCCCUCGAAUCUAGUGCCGCACUGUUCAUAUGUCACUUGCAACGUGGUUACGGCAACUUUGCUGAAGUUCACUAAAAUCUCCACGACGUCACCUCUUCCAUCAUAGAAAUCUUGUCCGCCGGAGCCUCCCCAUGGCCCGUUGACAACCGUCGAGAUUUCAAGGCGUGCAGGCUACAUUUCAUACAAACACAUUCAAGUGCUUCAGUUAUGCAACCAAUAGAGCGCAUAGCCUUCAUCAACAAACAACCUUGAAACUCGCAGAAUUGAAGAGUAUCAACACAAUCCAAUACCUUUUUGUCGAGAUGAGAAUUCCAAGGGUUUUCAACGUAAGUGAGUACUCCCAGUUGGUCGACCACUCGACCACUUCUGCCACAGAACCCCAAAACACCAUGAGGCAGAGACUGAAAGUGCUGUCCUCGGGAGUUUCCGAAAGGUCCGUAUGUUUCAUUGUUGGUGAUCAAUGAGAUUGAGGUCAGAUAGCCGCGAGGGUCGUAAGUGCCCUUCACUUGCAUUAAACGCUCGGUUGGGAAGUUCAGCGAAACCUGCACAACAAUAGCCAGCAAGUAUAUCAACAAAAUGAUUGUCGCAGGAUUCGAAGCUCUCUGUGCAUUCUCAUGGAACCUGAAGCUUAAGAUUCGGUAAAGCAGUUGAGUGAUAUUGUUCCUAUUUCAUUUACCUUGGCUUCUUCUCCUUCCUCUCCUUCACCGUGACAAGCACCUGAGAAUCGAUCACCACUGUGCUGGUACUCGGCUUGUAACAAAUGCACGCAUUCAUCGUCAUAUUUCACCGUGAUCUCCACAACAUCGCCUCUGCCAUCGCAGAAGUCAUAUCCUCCAUGCCCUCCCCAUUGUCCUUGCGUUAUCACGGUACUUUUCAAAGGCUUGUCCAGCUGAAUAUCGAUUAGAUGUUUCCACUAAUUAAAAUACCAUCUCUGAAAUGCUUCAUCUAGAAUGAACAUUCAAGGACGAUGAGAUCGAAAGAAUAUGGAAGAAGUUGGGGAUCCAAAUAAUCUGGGGGAAGAGAAUGGUAGAACUGAUACAAAACCUGGACAUUGUCGACACUGGCUUCGAUUGUGAGCACUCCAAGCUGGUCGAUAAUGGAACCAGAUCGACCAAAGAAUCCAACUAUAACCACAUCCGCUGGAGAUUCGAAACCCUCCCCUUCCGUGUUCCCGAAAGGCCCAUACGUCCCCUUGUUCGUGAUGAAGGAGAUCGAAUUUAUACACCUCCCGUAUGUGCCCACUACUUGCGUAAGGUACUCCUCCGGGUAAUCUAGCGUUAUCUACUAACCCAAAACAAGCCAUCGAUUCAGCAACUCCAAUCAUCCAACAUCGAAACAAACAGAGAUCACUGCGCACAAAUAUCCAUUAAAAGUCAGCUAGCGAAGUCCUCAAUUCGUUACCUUCUCGUCAUGACCGCCAUGCGAACCAUGAGUAGGACUGUGCCACCGGCUGCCGGUGCUCUCCGCGUACGCGACUUGCAGCUUGGUCACAUGGUCGUUGGUGUAGGUGACAUCAAUCUCGACAACAUCACCUCUGCCAUCAUAGAAAGGGUGCCCGCCUGACCCUCCCCAUGGUCCUUGAGCGGUAGCACUGUUUGCCGACAUGAACACACGCUCUUACUACCACUCAACAAUUGAAAGACCCACCUCAACUCAGAAAUAUCUCCGGCGUGCCACAAAAUUUCAAUAACUAGAUCGGUUUGAGUGACACAACAACGCAUUUCUAUGUGAAGCACAAGGUCGACUUAUAAAGCAAGCAAGAUUGAGCGUAGUACCUAGAUGAGUCAACCCCGACGCUCAGACUUCAUCCAGAUCGUGACAAUACUCAUCCCACGAGCUACCACGGCAAGGAUCUCGUAACACCCAACGCGCCACUUGUGCGCAAAACGAUCUGAGCUGGGGUGUGAAUGGGGAGAUUAAGAUCCAGCAACGGUCGCACGUGGAAACGAGUGACGACCCACUGUCACGCCGCGUUUGUGAAAGAUCUAGUUUAUUCAUCGACGCAAUGCCGCAUAGAUAUUUUUGGUAGUGCAAUCUGUCGUUGCGACCCGCCACGGGUGUCAUGUCUGCAGCCGUUUCCCGCUGCAAUUACUCCCCGUUGUGUUGCUUCCACCAUUCAGGAAACUGGAAAUGGAAUCGAAAGGGAUGGGGAAGCAAAGUUUCGAACACGCAAGGUGUGUGAAGGGUCACGUGUCUGUUGUCCACGCCGAAUUCGUAUUCAUUUAUAGAUCCGGUUCGCAGCUUCGUAAUUUUUUAAAACUUUUUUACGCAUAAUUUUUUUUUCUUCUGUUUCUAGUAUUUUUGGGUUUAUGAUACUGAUGGUGUGUAGCCUUUGCUAAUAGUGUAAGGAUUGUAUGUGAUUUAGUAGGAACGGUGCUGGUUCAGGGAAAAGCAUGUGGAUCCAUGGUAAACUGAAAAAUCCUGAGAUUGCAUUACGUGUGACCUAUUCUUGUGCAGAGAAUAAUUGUUUGAGCCCAUUCUCAUUGAAUAAUUUGGGACCAAUUUGCAUUUAUUGUUUUUGCCACAAUCCAAGUGAUAUGUUUAAGAGGUUUGAUGUAAUGCAUCGGAUAUGUGGAUUCCGGUAGCAUGUGUUAAUUUACAAAGGUUGUAGUCUUUUUUCUUUUUCUUUUUUGAUAUGGCCAAGGUAUACUCAGUGCAUUGAUUAGGAAGAUAAGUAAAUGGCAUGCAAAGACAUGAGAUCCAAAAAACUAGGCAAUAUAUAAAGCAUUAUCAAAGUUACUAGAUUAAGUGUUUUGGUAUGCUAGUUGCUAAAUUAUUGUGUACAAUUAUGCCUCCACAAGAAGGAAUUAAAUUCUACCCAAUUUUAUGUCUAGCUCCUAUUAUUUCCAUGACCAUCCAAGUUUUGUCCUAAUAGCAAAACAAAUCUUUGAUAUUCUAAACUUUCUUGUUAACAAUGUCUAGAGUAAUUUUCUACACCAUUCUAUUAUAUUCUAGGAGAUUGGAAUAAAUUUCUAUUUUAACUUUUCUUAAAAGGAAAGUCAUUGCAUUGCUUUUAAAUUCUCCAUAUGCAUGUAUUUCUUAAUAGAGACCAAAUUGUUUUAAACUUAUCAAAUUCAUGAUGGAUUAUUUCUACAAAUUUUUCUUACUUCUAUUAUAAGAUAGGCUAAGAAUUAGGUCUUCUAAAAUUGGUGAUAAAUUUGUGUAACAUCAAUGCAAUCUAGUCUUAUGCUUUUUUAUUUAGGAGGCAUUUCCAAAAUUUGUAAAAUAAGUUCCAAAUGUGAUAUAGAUGUAAAGUAUCUUUAUUAGCUCAUACUCUCUACAUAUUAAUAAUAAGGCCUUUGUUGUGUGUUAGCUUGAUAAGUAUGGCAUCUUUCUUAGCAUUGGAUUUUUACAAGACAUCUUUUCAUUUGAAGACAUAAGUUUUGUCAAAUUUGUCACUUCAUUUUAAUGUGGCUAAAUUCUAAGCUUUAUGAUUUUUUUGUAGGAGUUUUUUGCGAAGUUUGGACAUAUAAGUUUUGAUGUUACAUCUUUUUUUUUAUAAAUAUGCUUAUGGAUCAAAGACACAAUUUUCAAGUAUUUCAAAGAAUGACUAAGAUUUUUAUUAAAUUCACUUGCAACUUAUAUUUUAAUACCUAAUUUUGUUAUUUUUACAUAAAAUUCUGCUCUUAUUAUGUUUGAUGCAAAUGUGAGUACAAAGAUUGAUUCUUGUAUUAAUAAUAGUUUAGAAUUAAAAAUAAGAAGUCUUAUUUUUUUGCCAAAUGUGUAGUAUUUAAUUUUUAAAGAUUUAUGCAUAUUAAACCAAUUAUUAAAUCAAAUAAAAAGAUUAAGAGUAGCUAGUUGAUAAAAAAAAAAUCAAUAAUAGUGCUUCAAGAAUGUUAUAGAAACUAAGUCAUUUGAUUUUAGAGGUUUCAUUCUAUAACAAAGAAGUCUUUUCUAAUAUUUUGGAUAUUGGUUUAUUAAUUAUAGCCAAAGAUAAUCUUUCUUAUGAUUUAGAUCAAAUCUUAUAAUAACUUUUAAAUUAUAUAAAUAAUUCAUUGAAUAAUUUUAUUCAUCCUUGAUUCUUAUUAUGUUUUUUUUAUAAGGUUCAACUAUUCUAACUGAGAUAAUGUGUAUGUUAAUAAUAAAGAAUUCUUAGUUCUACUACAAAGAUUUAUUUUUUUUAAUUUAAAUAAUGAUUUUGAAUCUUUGAAUUGAAACUAGGCUAUUAAUUUGGACUAAGUUCUUUUGAUUUGCAAUCAAUGUAUUGAACUUUUAUUCCAUUCAUAGUUGAAUAAGAAAUCCUAAGUAAAAAUAGAAUUCUAUUGAUCAAUAUUUUUGAAAGAACUUAAUAAUAACUUAAAUCUUAAUAAAAUUUAGAGAUUUGAAUUUUCAAUGUAUAAUUUAUAAAUUAUCCAUUUUCUUAGAAGAUAUAUCAAGGCUUCUUUUGGAUAUCAAAGACAUAAAUUAUAAAUAAUAAAAACCUUGAUACACUCAUAUGUCACUUAAAAAGAGUAGAUAUUUAUUUUAAAUAGUAUAAUAUUAAAAGUAGAACGACUAUUGUCAAAGACAAGAAGAUCAGAGAUUCUUUAAACAAAACUAAGAAUAAAAAAGGUAUUUACAAGAGUAAAGAAGGCUUCACUCUUCUCUCUCUCUCGCUCUCUCUCUCUCUCUCUCUCUCUCUCUCUAUAUAUAUAUAUAUAUAUAUAAUAUCUAACUAGGAUCUUAGUUUUAUAAAACCUCUAAUAUGUGUCCAACUUGUGAAACAUGUAUCUAACUUCUAAGAAAAUUUUCCUACAUAUGCACCAUAUAGCCAAUAAUAAUUCAUGAAUUGAAACUACAAGUUAUUGUUUUUUAAUCUCUUUAGUAUUAUAAAUAUAGAAAAAAUCUCAAAUAAAGAUAAAAGAUAAAAUAUAAUCUUUAUUAGAUCUUGUUUCUUUUAUAAUCAAGAAUUGUAUAAUUCUUUAUCUUGAUUUUUGAUGGAUAUUAUUGAUGAAAAGCAUCAACCUUCUUUGUUGUAUUCACAAGAUUCUAGAUUGUUUUCCAUGUGCAUUCUUUAAUAUCAUAUCUACACUAAUAUAUAAGAUAUUUUAAUUUAUUUCAGCAAAUCUUUGAAUCUAAAACUUUUUUUUAUGUUGAACUCUUGAUUAUUGUCUAUUUUUGUAAGAAGAAGUGGCAUUUAUCUUUUUUUUGGUAUAUCCACUAUCUUAUAUGAUUUUAAAAAAGACACAUAGAAUAUUAGAUGGAUCUUCAUAGGCUUGGUAAUUGUAAUUGAUAAGCAAUUGGAUUGAUUUUUUUACAAAUAAAAAAUGAUUCAAGUUUAUAAUAAUCCAACUUAUCAUAUAAAAAUUAUUCUUAAUAUUACAACAAAAAAAUUAUACUUUAUUGCCAAUAUAGAAUUAAAUUUUUCCUUUAUAAGAAACAUAUAAAUUAUUAUUUUAUUAUUAUUGAGCUUCUUUUAAUUAUGUAUUCAUUGUUGCAUGUAGCUUUGAUAAAAAAAAAUUCAUCUUUUUCUUCAUAAUUAUUAACUUUUACAAUGUUAAAAGUAUCAAAUUAUAGAUGUUAAUUACAAUUAAUAUAAUUUUUUUUGAAUAAUAAAAUAUAUUAUGUUAUGAUAAGUCUGUUAAUAAAAAAAAAAUCCAAUCAUCUUUAUAGUAAUUCAUAGUACAUUUCAAAUAUUAUUCCAAAUCUUGAUUUACUAGUUUUAUUUGUUAAUUGUUUUAAAGAAAAAAAACUAAAGAUAGUUUUAUGUUGACCUUCAAUAACUUAAAAAAUAUUUUCUAAAUCCUUAAUAUAAAUUGAGUUUCUUUAUUAGAUAUAAUAUCUCUUAAUAAUUUGUGAUAGUAAUAAAUAUUGCCAAAAAAAAACUUAGAUAUUUCUUUAUUUGUAAUAGAUUUUGUACAUUAUAAAAAUUAUGCCAUCUUAGUGAAACCAUAUAUUAUCACAAAUAUAGAGUCAUAAAAACUUAAAAUUAGAAGAUUGAAGAUAAAAUCUAUAAAAACAAAUUACUAUGAUUGUUCUAUUAUAAAUAAUGGCUAAAGAAGUUCAUAAGAUUGAUGACAAGGAAUUUUCAAUUUUAAAUGAAUAUUACAUAAUUUUACAAAGUUCUCAAAUAAUUUUUAUAUAUGAGGCUAUCAAAAAUCUCUUGGUAUUAAUUUAAGUUCUUAUUGUAUCCAAAAUGUCCUAUAAUUAAAAAUUUUGGAUAUAAUAAGAACUUAAAUUAUAUUUUGGAUAAAAUUAAGCAAAAGUAGAUAAAUAGAGAUUAAUUUCAUAAUAUCUUCUAAAAAAGCUUCUUAGAAGCUUUAUAGAUGUAGUUUUGACUUUACAUGUAUUUGUAAUUAAUUGAUAGGUUAGAAACUUAGUCAACAACUUAAUCAUGUAUCACAUGUAUUAGUAGCUUCUUGAACAAGUUAACUAUGUGGCACACAUAUAGAUAACUUAUCUUGCAAGUCAAGACAUAUGUCUAGUAAAGUCAACACAUAUUGGAGAUCUUAUAAAAAAUCACAAUAUAGCUCUUAGUUAGAGAGUAUAUAUGGAGAUAAGAGCAAAGCCUUCUUUACUCUUGUCAAUACUUUUCUAGUCUUUAGUCUUUUUUCCAAAUUUUCUAAUCUUCUAGUUUUUGGCAAUAGCCAUUUUAGUUUAAUAAUAUAUUAUUUUUGAGUGAUUUUUUAGUCUUUUUUAGUAAGAUAAGAGUGUAUUAACCUUUUAGUUCUUUGAGGUUCAUAUCCUUAAUAGUUUAACAAGAAUAAUAAUUUAUUGUUCUUAUCUUAUUUAUAAGUGAGUGAAUUAUUUCACUUCUAUUAUUGUAUCUUGAAGGUUGUGGACUAUUUAUCUUUAAACAAAAAGUUGAGUUUUUUAAUACUAAUUUUUUUACUUAAUGAGAUUGAAUUAAUUUUCUUUGUAAAAAUUUUAAUUUGAUAUUAGAGGUUGUAAAUUAUCUUCUUUUAAUUAAAUUUUUUGAAUUUAUUUGAGUUGACAACAGAAAGAAAGAUUAUAGAUGCUAUUAUCAACAAAAAUAAAAAAAUAUUUUUAACUAUUAUAGAUAUUUAUGAACUUGUCAAUAUUCUAAGAAUAGAAAUCUUAUAUAUUUCUAAUAUGAAUCAUGGAGGUACUAUUCCUACACAUAUGGAAGAAGUCUAGAAUCUAUGCCAAAAAAUUAUAUAAUUAAAGGAAACUAAUAGAUCAGUUUUAUAAUUAAAUUCUAGAAGUCUUACUUCUACAAGCAUAAGGGAGGUAAGGAUUACUAUGCCUAAGAAGUUUGAUGGAACAAGAUCAAAAUUUCAAGGAUUUUUGUAAGAAAUUGAAUUCUAUUUAUGAUUAUAUCCUUUCUAAUAUUCCAAAGGAUUUAUUCAAGUUGAAUUCAUAAGUAAAUUUUUCUUGAAAAUUAACACGAUAGGUUUUAAUUUGUAUUUUUAUUUAUAAAAUAUAUUGUGUUUAUUUAUGCACUUUUUGUUUGCAGCUUUGAUGGAAAAAAAUUCAGAAUUAUUCUAUGAUUCAAAUUUAUUCUUUAAAAAUAUUUAUGGCGACAUUUUGAAUAAGUGAUGGAGAAAGGAUAGCAAAGAUCAAGCAUGUAUUGCUAUGGCAAGGAUUACAUUCAGCUACUACAUAUGCUAUUGAAUUCCAAAAUCUUGCUUGUGAUGUAGUUUGGAAUGAUAAAGCCCUUAUCAAUCAAUUUUGAUUUGGAUUUAAAAAUAAUAUCAAAAAUUUAUUAUUGACAAUGCCAAGAAUAGAUUCAUUAAAAUAAUUUAUUGCUUAAGCCAUUGUAUACAACAAUUGACUCUUUGAAAGGUGCUAGGAUCAAAGAUUUGAUUGAAGAAGUAGAAGUCAAGCUAUAGCAACACCUUCUUGGUUUUUGACAUAUUAUUUGGCUAAGAAAAAAUAAAUACAAAUUAACAUGAUAUGUUUCAAACCUCUUAUUUAUCAAAAAAAGAUUCAUCAUUAUCAAGAAGAUUUGUACCUAUAUUGUAGAAAAUCUACAAUCUAAAGCCUAAUAUAGAAUGAGUUUGCUAUACUCAAUAGGUACAUUGAUGAAAAUUUGAAUAAGAAAUUUAUAUGCCAUUCCAAAUCUAUCAUUGUUAUAACCUUUGUAACUUCCUUCAGACAAAACAUUUGUAACACCAUUAAGAGUCGUGCCUACCUCCAAUAAAAUCACCAAACAUUAAGAGUCUUUUUUCAAGUCCUAAUAUCAAAUAUAUUGUAUCUUAUCAUCUAUUCAAGGAAAAACAUGUCAUUUUUAAAGGGCUUCAAGCCUAUUAUUUCGUCUUAUAGGCUAUGAUAAAUAUAAUGUCAUAUCUAGUAAAUUAACAAAUGAUGGUUCUUCAGUUGAAUCCAUUGGUUGUUGAUUUUCGAUCUCAUUGACGCCAGAAUUAUACAAAAAUUACAAACAAGGAUAAAAACUAGAAUGUAAUAUAUAUAUAUAUAUAUAUAUAGCAAAGGUUUGUUAUCCUUUAUCUUAGUUUUGGUGGAUGUUGAUGAUGAAAAGCUUUGACCUUUUCUGUUAGAUUUGUAUGAUUUUUUACUAGCUCUUAUGUGCAUUUACUAAUAUCAUAUUCACACCAAUAGACAUGAUAUUCUAACUUAUUUUGGUACUGCCUUGAGUCUAAAACUUCUUCCACUUCAAACUCUUCAUUAUUGUCAACUUCUAUAUGAAAAGAUGGGACUUAACUUCUUCUUGAUAUGUUCACAUUCUUAUAUGGUUUAAGAAGAAAUACAUAGAAUAUUCAAUAGAUCUUCAUUGACUCUUGUAGAUGUAAUUGAUAAAUAAUUAAAUUGAUUUAUUUAUAGAUAAAAAAAGAUCCAAGCCUACAAUAGUCCAACUUAUCACAAAGAUGAGUAAUCUUGAUAUUACGACAAAGUAAUCAUACAUUAUCACUUAUAUUGAAUUAUCAUUAUUUUUUUUGAUAUGCAUCCAUAUUGAUCUUUUAUCAUUCUUGAGCUUCCUUUAAUUGCACCUUCAUUGUUGCAUGUAGCUCUGAUAAAUAAUUUGCCAAAUCUUUUGUUACAGCAUAUCAUCUUUUGAAAAGUCAAAAGUAUUAAGUUGUAGAUGAUAAUCAUAAUUAGUAAAAAAAGUUUUUUGUUGCAUAGAAAAAUGCAUCAUAUUAUUAUAAGAAAACUUUACAAAUGGUAAGAGGGUUGUUCAAUUGUCUUGUUAAUAAUUGAUGGUACACCUUAAGUAUUGCUUCAAAACUUGGUUUAUGUGCUUUGCCUAUUGUGAUGGUUUUUUCUCCCCUCACUUAAAUUCAAUUUGAUUCAAUUGUGACUUAGAUUAAAAUUCAAUAUUAAUCUAGAUGGACAUUUAAAUCAUAAAUAUAUAUAUAUAAAAAUGAUAAAAUAAUCAUAAUUAAUUCAAUGAAAUACAAAAAGGCAAAGUAUAUAAUUUUUUAUGAUUUCUUUAGUAUUAUAAUAAAAUAAGUUAAUUUUCUUCCAAAUUUUACUUAAUCAAGUUUAAACUCAAAAAAUUAUAUAUAAAGAUAAAAAUAAAAUAAAAUAAAAUAGAAUUAAUAACUAAAAGUUGAAUGAACAAUUUUAAAAUAAUUAGAGUAAAAAAAUUAAAAGAUAAAAAGUAAAAUUUAUAAAUUAAUAUUAAAAAUAAAAGGUGAAAAUAAAAAGAUAAGAUUAAUUUUUUUUCUUUUAUCUUUUAAAGAUAAAGAUGGAUGAAAAGAUAAAACUUUACUAUUAAUUAUUAAAAAUUAUUAAAUAAUAUUAAUUAAGAAUAAUAAAAUAAGUAAGAAUUAAUAUAAUAAAUUAGGUGCUAGAAAUGUGAUUAGUGAAUAAUUAGAGAAGAAAUAAUAACAUACCUUGAAAUGUAAAAUUGUAAACAUCCACCCUUGCUACUCAAAAAUUCACCAAAUAUUCCUUGAAACUCAUAUGCAAGUGAAAUUUGGUGUGAUCAAGGUCAAAUCUAGCAUGCUUCUACUUUCUUAAACCUUGUGGCAAUUCAAUCUAAAAUGCUUGAGAUAUGGUUUUUUCAAGUAGAGCCACUUGGGCUGCCUUGGCAGCAGAUUCUUUUUACUUAAAAACUCAUUGAAAGUUGGUUAAUGAUUCAAAGUUAAAAACUUUAAUUUUUUCUAGUACAAAACUUAAGAAGAUUUUUUUGCAAUAAUAUUGGAUAAAAAAAAAUCAAUAGGAAUGAAGCUACAUUUUUCCAAAGUUAAUUGUUUUAAACUACGAAGAUAGCAGUUCUAUCUUCAUUCUAAAAAUCAUAAUUUUUUUUUAUAACUUAAAAGUUAAAGAUUUAAAUUUUAAAUAAACUAAACUUUAAAUUAAAUUCAUAAUAGUAAUUCACAUUAAAUUUGAGUAAGAGGUCAUCAAGUUACAAAUUUUUGAAGUUGAUGCUCUUAUAUUGCCAAAGGCAAUAGACCCCAUGCCACUUGGAAAUUUGCCAAAAAUUUGUCUAAGCUUCAAUUACUUGUAGCUUAUGUCAUUGAAAAGUUGAUAACUAGAAAAACAUGAACACCAAAUAUUGCUCAAAAGCAUAAAAAAUUGAAUGACUGAGAGGAAAAAAAUACCAACAUAGUAACAAGGUAGGAGACGAUUUCCUUCAAUUAAAAGCCUAGAAACAAUUUGGCAGGGCUUUGCCUUAUAAAAGGAAGAAGAGAGAGAGGGAACUUAGCCAUCCAAGACCUCUUAACCAAGUAAGAGGAGGUCCAAAGGUGGCGGCCACAUCUCCACUAUCUAAAUCAAAAAACUCCUAAUCAAGAUUAAGGGUCUACAAUCACUCUAUGUCACGGCCAUAAUCAUGUAAGCUAAUAAUUACAUAUAGAAAUAGGUAGAAGUAAGUAAAAGUAGAUAAAAGUAAGUUAAUUGUAUAAUAUUUAAUAUAGAAGCUUCCUAGAAACUUCCUAGACGCUGCUUUGACUUCAUAGGUGUCUUUAAUUGACUUUUUGGAUUAGAAACGUGGUCAACAAGUUGGCCAUGUGCCACACAUGUUGUUAGCUUGAAGAUCAAGCUAACUAUGUGGCCCACACGUAGAAAAACUUGCCUUGUAAGUCAAGGCAUGUGUCCUACAAAGUCAACACAUAUUGGAGGUCCUAUAGAACGUCGCCACGUAGCCCCUAGUUAGAUAGUAUAUAUAGAGACAAGAGUGAAGGCUUCUUCACUCUUGUCAACUCCUUUCUUGCUUCUAGUCUAGGUUCAAGAGUCUUUAGUUUCUUGUCUUGUGGCAAUAGCCAUUCCAGUUUCCUUUUAAUAUACCUACUUGUUUAUAUUUUGACUUAUUAUAUCGAGAUAGCCUUUUGGUGUAUAUUUUUCCUCAUCGAGUCUUUGUCCUUGACACUCUAAGGUUAAAUCCAAUUUUUAAGGCUGGAAAUGCCUGUAACUCAAAAACUAAUAUCUUUUUAGUAAAACUAAUACCACCAAUAUUUCUUAAAUAUAUUUUUAUUCCAAGGUGACUAUUCUUAAGUCUAAAUCUAAGUUCUAAAUAAAAAAAAACUAAUUAAUUUGCUAAUUUAGUUGUAAGUUCAUACUAUAAUUCUAAUUUUACUCAGUCUACUUAGUGAUCAGUAAGGGUUCUUGCCAUCAAGCCAUCAUGAUCACCAUUCUUCAAUUUAAGCUCUCUUAAACAUGAACUCUUAGAAAAUCUAAGAUCCAAUUGUAAUUUAACCUUGAAUUAAUACACAUAUGAUCUUUUUCUUUUUUUCUAAUUUUUAACUCCAAAUAGUGAUUAAGAUCACUGAGAGAGUAAUUCCACCACCAAAAUUAGUUCAACUCUAUCUUCUAGAAAUCAUUAUUAUUUUAACAAUUAGACUUUAUAUUUUUAAUCCAUUUAAAUUAUGGCAUAAAACUUAACCUUAAAAAAUCUUAAAACUUAAAUAUGAAGAUAGAGCAAUUAGACUUAAGGGAUUUUUUUAACCAUAGUCAAAUUAGGAAUUAGCCUAUGAUUUGAAAACUAAAAUUGUAGAUAAAUUCAAGAUAUAAUUUCUAAGAUUUAAAAGAAAAAUUCUACUAAAAUUCUAAUUUUAGUACUAAAAGAGGAUUUAAACCAGAUCAAGAAAAAGAAAUCAUAGAUCUUCUAAAUUUGCUAUUUUAAAAUUUGUAACAAUCACUUAAUCUAGUAAUUAAAAGAAUCUACAUAAUUAAUAAUCUUAAACUAUAAUUUAAGUCAUUAUUAACUAAAAGAUUAAUUAAGAACCAUAAAUUAAUCAUAUUAGCAUUAAAAUUAGUAAAAAUAUGUUAAAAAUUAUAAAAGUAAUUAUAACUAAUCUUUAGAGCUAUUAAUUGUACUCAUAUCUAUCCAUCACUUUGAGGAUGAAAGACUGAAAAAAGCUUUAUGUAUACCUUUAGAACCUUAAAAAAGAUUUUUUAAAAUCUUGAUACUAAUUGAUUCUCCUUAUCUAAAAAAUAUUGUAACAUGGUAUAGAUAAGAUAAUUAUUUAGAUAAUUAGAACCAUAGAAGUCUCUAGAAUUGGAGUUAGGUUAUUGGAUUAGGUAGGACCUACUGUAGAACAUUCUAGAAAGGAUUUAGGUGGAUUAUAUAGAUAGAACCCUCUAUAGAAUCUUCCAAAAGAAAACUUAAGGCUGUUAUCUAGGUUGGACCUAUCAUGGAAUCUUUUGAAAAAGGAGUUUAAGGUAGUUAUCUAGGUAGAGUCUACCAACUAAGAAUAUUCUAGAAAGUUUAGGGUAAUAGGACAAGGUAUAAAUAAGAUUGGCUAGGUCCUUUUGGGGCAUCUGAUUAGGUAUGGCUUCAAACUCUUUUUCUUACUAAAGUUUGUUUCUAUAUCUUUUUAUUCAAAUCUAUUCUAUUUUGUUUUUUUUUGCUCAGUUUUAUCUUUCAUGUCCUAUUUUGUUUAAUUUUUUAAAAUUUUGUUCUAAUAAAUUUUGUCUUAUUUUGUGAGAAGGCCUUAUGUUGUUGUGGAUUAGAAAGAUCUUAGAUUUUUGAAAUAGUAUAGUUUUGUUUCAUUAAUAUCAGAGCAAGUGUCAGACUGUUUACUUUUGAUAGCAUGUUAAUAGUCAUCAUUUAGUUCAAGAUUAGUUGUUGUAGUCACACAGGGUAUUAUGUUGACGCUAUCACAAGCUACUCUUAAAAAAUCAAUCGGGAUGUGAAAAUGUAUUAUAAUAGUAGAGUCUAACAAAGAAAUUAUAAUAUAAGAGAUAUGGCAUGGCAAUUCCAAAUGGAGGCUCAAAUACAACACCUCUUAGGCCAGAUAGCUACUUUACAAGGAUAAAUAGAAGCCUUGAAGAUAAGAAAGUUGACAUCUACUAUGUUGAAAUUGAAUAAGCCUAAUACAUACUUUGGAACUCCAAGACAAGAAGUUGUAUAUCAAUGGCUCUUCAAUAUGUGACAAUACUUCUAACUAUCUAAGCCAAAUACCACCAAAGAAAUUAUAUAUAUAGCUAGCUAUUUGAAAGAUGUGGCAGCCAUUUGUUGACAACAUCAAAUUCAAAGUUAUAGAGCUGAAGGUGGAUCUUAUGACUAGGGAGAAUUUGAGACCAAGUAUAAGAAUCAAUUUUGGCUCAUCAAUGUGAAAAAGAUAGCAUGCGAUUACUUGACAAAUUUUACAUAAGCUAUAUCAGUGUAAGAUUAUGUCUUAUAAUUCAAGUACUUAUGUCUUCAAAUUGGUAAUGUUUUGGAGGCAAAGAUGAUGGAUUGAUUCUUUCAAGGUUUAAAACUAGAGUCCAACAAGAGGUGGAACUAAAGGAUCCACAAACAUUGGAAGAAGCAAUUCGGAUUGUAGAGAAGGUUGAUGCUAUAGAUUUUAGAAAUAAUAGAGUACAACUUAUAGCACAAAGUACUAUACUACCUUCUAAUAUUACGGCACAAUAAUCAAUGCCAAUAGACAUUGAUGCCUUACAAGGAUCACUGAGACCACAAAGACGACAAAUAUUGGUGCAAAAAGAAUUAUGUUUCUAUUGUCAAGAGUUAGGCCAUUAAAUUAGAGGUUUUUCAAAAUGUCAAAGUACAAGUAUCAAGAAGACAAGGUAAGUUUAGAGUCUUGAAACUCAUCAAGUUGAUAAUGAAUCAGAGCAGGGAAAUGGGGCUCUCUAAUAAAGGCACCAGUGGCCAAUACUAGGGAUACCUAUUGUCUCACAAAGACAAAUGGCAUAGCCUUAGACAACUAUAAGAAGAGUCGACUGGUACUUCUAAUAGAACUACUAAGAAGAAAAUAUGUCAAGUGCUUGUAGAUUGUGGCUCUAGAGAAAAUUGCAUCUCAAUUAAAAUUGUUGAUCGGUUUGGAAUUAAAACCAAAGAAAUCAAAGAAAAAAAUAUAUACUUUAUAAAUAAUUGAGAGAAUGUAUUGAGUGAGAUGUGUGAAGAAAAAAUCUUGAGAUUGAUGAACAUAUACAUCUUAAGAAAAAAAUUCAAGGUAACAAAACUAAAGUAUGAUGUUAUGCUUGGUAUGCCAUGGCUGGAGAUAGAAAAUAAGCAAGUUGAUUAAGUAACAAGGACAAUCUCUUUUAAAGAUGGAAGACACAAGGUGGCUCUUUGCACCUCCAAAUUUGGUGAAGAAAGAAGAUAAACUACAACCAAAGACUUACUUGUAGGGACAUCCUUUAUAAAGAAACAACUAUACUAUGAGCAACCAAUAUAUAUAGUGGUUCCAAACCUUACGUCAAUGGUAGAAAAGACAACCAAAGAGAUAGAAUAGGCGGAACUAUUUAUAUGAAAAUAUCUUGAUGUCUUUCUAACCAACCUACUUAGUAGCAUAUCUCUUGAUCAAGGUGGCUCCUUUCAAAUAUAACUAUUAUUUAGAAAAAAACCAAUAAGUUGACUAAUUUAUCACCUAGUACCAAAAGAAUUUAAAUAGCUAUAGAAGACAUUAGACAAAUUAUUGGAGAAAGGCCUCAUUUGAGAAAGCACAUCACUAUAGGGAGCACAUGUAUUCUUUGUAUCCAAAAAAGAUGGUAGACUUUACCUUUGCAUUGAUUAUCGAGGUCUCAAUAAGUAGACUGUUAAAAAUAUCCACUUCCACUUUAUAUUCACUUCGACUUCGACUUCCACUUCAUAUCCACUUCCACGCAUGGAUGAGCUUCUUAAUCAAUUUCAAGGUGCGACCUUCUUUAGUAAUUUGGAUCUUUGAAGUGGAUAAUGGCAAAUACCUAUUGCAAGAAAAGAUAUAAAAAAGACGAUAUUUUGUACCCACUAUGGAUAUUUUGAAUGGUUGGUUUUAUCCUUUGGCCUCACCAAUGCUUCAACCUCUUUCAUGAGUCACAUGAACAAAUUAUUUUGAGAUCUUUUAGACAAAUAUGUAAUCAUUUUUAUUGAUGAUAUCCUCGUAUAUUAUAAAAUCUCUAAAGAGAAUGAGCAACACCUACAAGAGGUAUUGCGUUGACUACAAGAUAGUCAUUUUUAUUGUAAACAAUUAAAAUGUGAACUUUGGAAGACACAAGUCACUUUUAUGGAACGUAUGGUGUCUUCCAAAGGAGUGCAUAUAGAGCAAGAUAAGAUAAAUAUAGUGGAGGAUUAGUCAACCUCUAAGUUUACUCAUUUUUAGGCCUUACUAGAUACUAUUGCUAUUUUAUUUAGUGAUUUACUCAUAUUAUUGCUUCAUUGACAAACUUGUUGGAGAAAGAUUCUUCAAUUUAAUAGAAAUUAGAGCAAUAAAAUGCCUUUGAUAAGUUGAAAGAGACACUCAUUACUACUCCAAUAUUGCAACCAUAUGUUCCUAAUCUUCCUUCUACUCUUGACAUUGAUACUUCUGACGUUGCUAUUAGAACAAUCCUUCAAAAAGACUUUGAUAGGAGCCUUCAAUUUAUACCGUAUAUCUCAUGCAAGCUCAGAAGGGUAGAGUGCAAUUACUCUACACGUGAUUGAGAGCAAAUAACGAUUGUAUAUACUACAAAGGUGUAUCAACACUAUCUAUUAAAGAAGCUAGUAGUUGUUCAGACUCAUCAUCGAUCCUUAUUAUAUGAUUUAUAUCUAAAAAAUAUGAAAUCACGAUAUCAUCGUUGAAAAGAACAGUUGCAACUUUUUGAUAUGCAGCUUAAGUACAAGCAAGGGUGAAAAUAUACUAUAUGAGAUAGCUUAUUGUGGAGAUUAGACUUAAAAGACAAAUCAAGAGACAAGACAAAAAUUACUACUAUUAAUAGUACUAUUUUAGAUCUAACCAAAGAAGUAGAAUAGAACAAAGUUACACAUUGGGAUGCUUACUUUAAGAUGGUUAGUAAUUGGUUGUAAGUGGAUAAUAUAUAAUAUCAAGAUUACACUCUUAGUGGUGGCUUUUUCUAUUUCAAGAAGUAAAUUUAAAUACUUGACAAUGCUAAAUUAUGGAUAAGCAUACUUCAUGAGGAACAUAACAUUCCAAUAUUUGGACAUUUGGGAUGAGAAAAGAUCUUAGAACGGAUCUCAAAGAUAUAGUUUUUAGCAAGUCUAGAUUAUAAUGUUUGAGCCUUUGUAUACUCUUGCAAAUAAUGUCAAUGUAACAAAGCAUGCAAUAUAGCAUCUCGUGGACUAUUGCAACCAAUUCCACUACCUAGGGCAUGUUAGGAGCAAGUGACUAUGGAUCUCAUUACGUAUUUGCUAUAGACACCUUAUAAUCAUACCAUAGUUGCUAUCUUUGCGGAUCGACUCUUAAAGCAACUUCACUUAGCCGCAAUAUACUCGGAUAUUGAUGCUUCAAUGUUUGCAGGAGUCUUUUUUGAUACAUUCUUUUGUCACCAUGGAUUACAUCAUGUCAUCAUUUUAGAUUGGAUACCAUACUUUAGGAGAAGUUUUUGGGAAGUCUUGUUCAAGCUAUUAGGUACAUGACUUAUCAUAUCUAUAUUCUUCCAUGCUCAAACAAAUGAGCAAACAGAAUAUGCAAAUAAGAUCUUGGAGGAUAUAUUAUAGACAUUUGUGGCGAUUCAUCAUAAUGAUUGAGAUGAAUACUUGACAUCCUUCAAGUUUGCUUAUUAUGAUAGUAUUUAAGUAAGUACCAAUUAUUCACCAUUUUUCUUUAAUAUUGGUGUCGAAAUAGAGAGAAUUUGCCUCAAGAAAGCAUUGGACUCUUGGCUAUCAUUAAUUGCUCAAUUAAGUCUUGAGAUAAGAAAGACCAAGUUUAUAUAUAAAUUUUUUUUUUUUGAGCAAUUACACCAAAUACGUAAGGCUCUAGUAACUAACAACACCCAAAAUAUGAUAAAAUCCUUUAUAACCUUAUAUUUUCUUAUAUAAUUUUUUUUUCAAAUUUCAACACCUCCUAUCUCUUAAUCUGAUUGUCCAAAAAAACUCAAAUUUUACUUAAAGUACUAAUAUAUUCUUGUUAAUUCCUGCAAUAAAUUUCAAUUGCAAAUUCAUUGCAAAUCUUGAGAUAUCUUGAAAAUCCUAACAUUCGCUUUAAAUCCUUGAUUUUAUACAUCCACAUGUAACUUUCUUCAUAUCUCACAAAAUAUAAGCUCAAAUACCACGAAAUUUAUAUAUAUAGCUUUUCAACACAAAUUAUUACAUUUUCCAAAAAGUUUGAGUCAAAAAAUCGUCAAAAAAUUGAAGUUAUGGCUCCAGCCAUCACUAUAAAUGAAACUAUUCACUUAUUGCCUUUGAUUUGGAGGUGUCAUCUUCAACUCCCCAUAACUCCUUCAUAUGAAUUUUAAAAGUAAAAAUACUUUUGUAAAAGAUUCUUUUGUAACCUUGGUAGCUUAGACCUUUUUGUAUUUUUAUAGUGAUAUCUGAUGUCGCAUACCACCUUGAGCUUAUGCCUUAUAUUUGGAUUCAUCCACUCUUCCAUGUUUUGCAAUUGAAGGAAUUUCAUACUGAGACAAAGUGCUUUUUGGAUUGACAUCAACCACCACCACUACCAGUUGUAGUUGAUGACCAAUAAGAAUAUGAAGUGGAUAACAUUUUGGAGCAUUGCUACCUUUGUUGUGGUAGUGGAAGUCCACAACUUCAGUAUAAAGUUCUUUUGAAAGGUUAUUUCAUUUACGAUGCAAUAUAAGAAUCUACACAAAACCUCACCUAUUGUCAAAAGAUAAUUUGGAGAUACCAUUGGAAGCAAAACGAAAAUGUUCUACAUUAGUAGAGGAGAUUUAAUUAUAAUAGGAUAUAAAUAACAUAAUUAUAUAGAUAAUUAGAACCAUAGAAGUCUCUAGAAUUGAUAUUAGGUUAGUGGACCAAGUAGGACCUAUUGUAGAAUAUUUUAGAAAGGAUUUAGGAUAAUUAUUCAGAUGAAGACCACAUGUGAGCUCUCAAUUAUACUCUAAAAUCUAAAUUUUUGUUGUUUUCUUAUUUUAUGAUAAUUAGGCAUGUUAAAUUAGAAUUUAUAUAAGUAGAAUUUAGUUUUAUAGAAUUUUUAGGAUUACAACCUUUGAUAGUAUAAAUUAUAGUAUAAUUCUUUGAAUUUGAUUAGUUAGGACUAAAGUAAUAAGAAUUAAAAAAUUAGAAUAUCAACUUAGUUACUUUAAUAAUUUAGAGGUUGUUAGUCAUUACUAUGAGAGUUGACUAAAAGCCUAUGAAUGCACCGACAAUCAUUCACAUGAUUUAGGAGUUGGAAUUAUAAUUCUCCAAAAUAUUUAGGAAAGUUAGAAAUAAUAAUUUUGAAUUUUCCUCCAAAUUCAACAAAUUCAAGCAGCAUGGUGGUUUUUUUAAUUCAUGGAAGUCUUUUUAAUGCAAUGGUGGCACCGGAUUUAUUCUUUAGAGUGAAGAAAACAAGAUCAGUAUCCUCUCCUUCAAAAUACAAGUGAAGCAAUGAAAUUCUCAUUUUGAAGAAUUUUACAAAAAAUUUCUAAGAUCCUUGUAAAUAAAAACUUCCAUGAAAAUUAUAAUUGAGCAUGGAUUGAGGUAUGUGAGUAGUCGAAUUUUGCUUAAAAAGGUGUUUAGAACACAAUGGUAAAGUUGAAUUUACCAAAAAAUACUUUCUUGACCACUUACAAGAGCCAUCAGCUUUAAUUAUGAAAUUGACUUUUGAAUGAAUGAAGGCCAUAGAUCUAGAUUAGGGAUCUUAAAAAUCAAGGAUGGAGAUGUAGCCACCUUUCUACAAGCUUCCACUCAAUUUUAUAAGAGAGGCUUGAUUUUCUAAGCCCUCUCUCUCUCUCUCUCUCUCUCUUCUUUUGGGUGAAGGAUGAAGCUAUGUCAAAAUUUGGCCAAAAUCCUAAUCUUAAUUUUGUUUAGACUUAAAAUCUCAUUGUGAACCUUAUGAUUGUGUGUGUAUGGAUUUUGAAUUGUAAAGGAUGGUCGUUAAGAUAUGCUUUAAAAUAUGCUUCAUUGAGAUAGAUAGCUCCUCGGCCUUUCAAAUACCCCAAGGGUUUCAAGGGCCUCGGAUUUUCCUCAAUCAAUCACUCAGUUUCUUUUGUUUCGAUGUGAAAUUCUGAAUAAUUGUAGGUUUUGUUGUUAAAUUUUUGAAAAGACAAGACUAGCUUGAUUUAGAGUGAGGAGGAAUUUUUGGUGAAUUUUUGAGUGUGAGGGAAUUGACUGCCUUUGCAGUUUGGAUCUAUCGGGUUCAAAAAGGCAUUUCUCAGUGCCUAAUAAUUGGAUUUACUUGAAGUUUUUGGGAGCCUCAAGCUUUAUAAGUUAAGCUUUGAAAGGCAAAAGAUUUGUUAGAUUUGAAGAGAAUCUGAGGUUUUGGUGAAUUUCUAAGUGAAGAGGGUUGGUCGCCAUGGCAAUUUAGAUCACUCAACUUCAAGGGAAGAAUCCUCACGAUUGGAUCAUUAGAUUGCAACAAGAAUUAUUGGAUCAGGAGCACCUUUAAGUAAGCCUUGCAAUAAGUUAAGAUAUAUUCAAAUCAAAGCUGAUUACAAAUUUUGGCAAAUUUUGGAGUAGAAGGGGGUCAUUGCCUUCAAUCCUUGUAUGUUGUCAAGGUACCUUCGCUUUUACCUCUCUUACUUUAUUUUUACUAUCAUCUUCACUGUGACUUGUAAUCUUCACAUUUCACCUUUUGGCUAAUAAAUUUUAACCUUUAAUAUUCUUACUUUAAUUUUUAACUUAAAAUUUUAAUUUUAAUUUUUAAAUUUAACUUUCAAUUUUAAUUCUUAAAUUUAAUUUUUAAUUUUAACUUUUUAACUUUUUAACUUUUAAUUUAAUUUUUAAAUUUUAAUUUUUAACUUAACUUUUAACUUAAUUUUUAAUUCAAACUUAAUUUUUUAUUCUUACGGUCAAUUAAUAGUAAUAACUUAGUUAAUUAUUUUUACUAUGUUUGUAUAGUAAAUUUUAUUUAAUAUUUUUAUUUAAUAUUGAUAAUCAUUACUUAGAAGGCAUUAAUUUGAAUUAAACUACAAAGACCUACAUUUAAAUUAACUCAACAAUUUCACAAUUGGUAGUCCUUCCAUUCUACUGCUUGAACCUGUUGUAUGGCGUCAAUUUAAUGAGUGGUGAAUUUGGAGCUCACACUACCAUAGAAUCUUCUAAAAGUGAGGUUAAGGUGGUUAUCUAAGUAGGACCGACCAUUGAACCUUCUAAAAAAAGAGUUUAAGGUAGUUAUUUAUAUAGAGUCCACCACCUAAGAACAUUCUAGAAAAUCUAGGAUAGUAGGAUAAGUUAUAAAUAGGAAUAGCCAAGGCCUUUUGCAGCAUCUCGUCAAGUAUGGCUUGAGACCUUUUAUCUUAGUAAAAUUUGGUUCUAUAUCUUUCUAUUCAAAUUUAUUUUGUUUUGUUUUGUUCUAUUCUAUUCUAUUUCUGUUUGCUCAGUUUUAACUUUCAUGUUUUAUUUUGUUUAGUUCUGUUCAAUUUUAUUUUCAUCUUUUUUUUUCUAUUUUGUGAAGAGGCAUUCUAUUAUAUUAUGUUGUUGUAGAUUAGAAGGAUCUUAGAUUUUUGAAAUAGUUUAGUCUUGUUUCAAAUAUUGUCAAGGAAAAGUUUAGUAGUUUUUUCACCUAUGAUAGAUUUUGUGCAUAGAUAAAAUGUGCCAUUUUGGUAAAACGAUCUACUAUCACAAAUAUAAAAUCAAAUGAACUUGAGAUUAAAAGAUUCAUAAUAAAAUCUAUAGAAAUAAAAGAUUAAGAUUGUUCUAAAAUAGGUAAUAGGUUAAGAAGUCUAUAAGGUCAAUGACACAGAGUUUUUGACUUUGAACUAAGGUCAUAUGAUUGAAUAAAGUCUUUCGUAGCUUUUUACAUUUGUGACCACCAAAUUUUUUUAGAUAUUAGCUCCAAAGUCUUAUUAUAUCCAAAAUAUCCUAUUAUUAGAAAGUCAUGAUAUGCUUAAAAAAUACAUAAAUAUACUUCUUUUUUUGAAAUAUAUAGGCAUCUUUCAAAAUAAAGUAGGUUAUUUUUGAACUUAAACUUAAAUUUGGAAGUAUCACAAGACUUAGAAGAAGUAUUUUUGAUAUCAUGAACAAGAAGAUUAGAGGUCAUAUUUAAUUGAAUCUAUUUGAAAAAAAAAUUGAAUCAAUAGUCUUUGUUGAUUUCACUGCUUAAAGAAGAAAAAAUUUUGGUUUCAAUAAAAUUAUUCUUUACUCAUCAAAAGCUGUAUUUUUUUCUUUUGGUGUAAGAUAAGAACGUUUAAAAAGAGAUAUUGAACAAACCUUGUUGUUUUCUUGGCCAAUAAGUGAUAUUGAACUUAAAUCGUGACAAAGACCUACUCUAAUGAGCUUGACAAUAAUUCAAAAUAUGUAUUAACAUGAAAUACUUGAGAUUCUUAAGAUCCAUAUAUAUGGUGAUUGGACUAGAAGUGCCUUCUAAAUAAUGAUACUAUUCUUAAAAAGAAUCUAUAAUUGAAAGAAGUUAUUUAUCAUGGAUUUCAUAGUUAAUCUUGCUUACUGAGAAUUUUUUAGAAUGGAAAGCUACUAAAUGGAGCUUGUCAUCUUCUUCUAUUUAUGACAAAACAAUACCUAUAGCAAAAUUUGAUGCAUCUAUUUCUAUAAAAAAUGAUUUGAAAAAAUUGAUGCAAUAUUGAUACAAAAAGAAAUGCCAACUUUAAGGCUUCAAAAGAUGCUUGAGCUUUUUUAUUCCAAUUAAGUUUUUCUUUGCAUAUAAGACAUAUUAGAGGAGCAUCAACUUAAAAAAAAUUCUUAAUGAAGAUCUAAUAGUAAUUGGCAAAGCUCAAAAGCUUUGUAUAAUUUUUAUUGUUUUUAAAAUCUUUCAAUCUAUAAUAGUUUUAACCUUUUUUGGAUCCAUCAUAAGUCCUUUAUUGGAAAUGAUAUAUCAUAGGAUGUCAACUUGAGUAGUAUAGAAUACACACUUUUCCAACUUGGUGUACAAUCUUCCAUUUCUAAAUUUUUGUAACACAUGACAAAUAUAAACUUCAUGUUCUUUUUUAUUCUUAGAAUAGAUUAAAAUAUUAUCUAAGUAAUAAAUAAUAAAAUCAUCUAGAAACUCACAAAAAACAUCAUUUAUAAGAUGUUGAAAAGUAGUUGGUACAUUUGUAAGUCCAAAAGACAUGACAUCAUAUUCAAAAUGUCCAUACCUUGUUUAAAAUGCAGUCACUAUUCAUCUCUUUUUUUAAUGCAUAUCAAGUUGUAUGCUCCUUAUAGAUCUAUUUUUAUAUAGAUCUUAGCUUAAUUUAGUUGAUCAAAAAGUCUAAAUAUCAAGAAUAAAGGAUACCUAUUUUUGAUGGUAAACUUAUUGAAUCCUCGAUAAUCUAUACAUAUUUGCAGUGGUCCAUCUUUUUUCUUCACAAAUAAGAUAAGAGCUCUUGUAGGAGAUUUUGAAUGGUAUAUGAAAUUCUUACUGAAUUUCUUAUCAAUGUACUUCUUGAGUUUAGCCAACUCAUUUUGUGAUAAAUUAUAGAUUGGAUCAAAUGGUGGCUGAUUUCUCUCUUUAAGGUCAAUUGAGCAAUCAUAUGACCAAUGCUCUAAGAAAAUAAUUACAUUCUUCAUCUCAAAAAUAUCCUGAAAAUCUUGAUAUUAACUUAGAAUGCCUCUUGAAGUCUUUCUAUCAUUAAAAAUAGGUGUGGCAUAAAUAACAAAAAACAAUCCUUCUUCUGUACCAUAUAAGAAAGUUUUUGUAUCCACAAGUAUGGAUUUGGCUAUAUUAGACUCAUAGCUUUUGAGAAAACUCUUAAUAAUGCUUUGAAAAAAUUUAAGUUUAUAAAAAAAUCAAAUCUAUUAGAGGAUUAUAUUUUUCAAUCCAUGAUAAACUUAAAAUAGCUAGUUUAGAGGGAGACCUAAUUAUAUUAAAAAUUAUGCAAUUAUUAUGAUCAUUUAUUGCUACAUCUAUAGGAAGUAUUUCAUGAGUAAUAUCUCCAAAUAAUAAUGGACAGCCAUCUAUGACUUCUAUAUGUACAAGUUUAGUUUUUUUGUACAAAUAAUAUUCUAUGGCUUUUAAUAAACUCUUCAUCUAAGAAACAAGCUGAGGCUUUUGAAUCUAUGAAGAUAGACGCUUUGUGAUUAUUAGGUCUUAAAUAUACAUCUAUUAUAAAAUAAAGAGAAAGUUUUGAAGAGAGGAUAGGACCUUCAUUUAUAUAAGGAUUUAGCCACACGGUCCCUAUUAUAGCUGGAUAAAUUUGUUUUUCAACAUUUUUUCAUCUUUGACAAUUAUACUCCUCAUUUUGUAGUUAUAUUGUUCCUUUAGAUAAUGUUGAGCAGAGUGCUUAGUUUUUCUACAAUAUAAACAUAGUAUUUUUUGAUAAUGAUGAAUCUUUUCUUAUUUAGUAAGAAGUCUAAAAUAUAUUGUAUCAAUUUGCAUAUCUUUUACUUUCAAUUAUUUAGAUUGAAAGGUUGUCAGUAAUGUCAUUAAAUUGUAAUAAUGUAGAUAUUUUUUUGGACAAUUCUUAGAUUAAAAUUCAAAAAAAUGAUUUUCACACUUCACAAUAAAAUAAAUUGCUUAACUCAAUAUGUAAGGAUUAAGUUAAGUAUCAUUUUUUUUACCUCAUACUAUAAUUGAUAGAAAAAUAAGAUGAUAAAGGUAUUAUCAUUCUACGUGACAUCAAUCACUAAUUAUCAAAAUUGUCAAACAUAUGAUGUCAUUGAUAGAUUUUCUUAUUACAAGAUACAAAUCUUAUUAGUUGUAACACAAAUUGCAUUAUGUUCUCUAUAUGUAGAUCAAAAUUCUAUCAAAUAAGUGUCUAGAUUAUCCAAUAUUGGAUCUUAUUGUUUAAAAAAAGAUAAAAACCAUAAUAAUGCCAAAUUUGAAAGAAAUGUAUCAAUAAAUCUAACUUGUGAUCUCGGCAUUGAAUAGCUUUGAGAUUGAAGUUCAAUCACAAGUUAUACUUCAUUGAUAAAUCUUCAAAAUUUGAAUCUUCUGCCAUCAAACUUCUCAAGUAAAGCAACUCUAGGUUUUUUAAUACUAAAAGGAUGUUGUACUAUGGGAGAAGGGAUGUGAUUUGAUAUAGAUGUUGAAGCAGCUCUAAUCAUAUCUAUAUAUUCACUUUAUGUCAUUUUUAUUGCUUCUAGUGAUGAUAAAUUGAAUUGAUGCAUCACAAGAUUCAAUACUUUCAAUUACUUUUAUAUUUGUACCAUUGCACUUUUCAUUUUAAAAAACUCUUCUAUGAUAAUACUUUGAAAAAAAUAUCUAAUAUUACUCAAAACAAGCAAAAGAAAGGACUUGAGAAUAAAAAAAAUACUAAAAAUAAUAUUAAUUUAAAAGAGGAUAAUUUACAACUUCUAAUAUGCUUAUGUCUUAUCAAGAGAAAAGAAUAAUCCACUCUUAAUAAAGAGAAGAUAAAGCUCUAAUAUUAUAAGUAAAAUCUUGUGAAUUUAUCUAGAACAUGAACUAAAUGAAGUUGCAUAAACUUAUGAAAUCCAUAUAAAAAAAAAAUGACAAAAUAAAAAAAAAUAGUAUUUAUAUCAAAAAUAAAUUAAAAUGGCUAUUGCUAAAAGACAAGAAAACUAGAGAGUCUUUAAUUUAAAUUAGAAACAUGAAAAGAAUUGAUAAGAAUGAAGAAGGCUUCAUUCUUGCCUCUAUAUAUAUUAUCUACUUGGGAUUUAUAUGGCAACAUUCUGUACAACCUCCAAAAAUGAGUUGACUUUAUAUGACAUGUAUCUUAACUUAUAAAGUAAGUUUUCUAUAUAGGUGCCACAUAAUUAGCUUAUUUUACAAGCUGCCAAUCCAUGUUGCACGUAGUUAGCUUAUUAAUCAAGUUUCUAAUCUAUCAAUCAAUUACAAAUAUAUGUAAAGUCAAAAUAACAUCUAAAAAGCUUUUAAGAAGCUUUUUUAGAAGGUAUUAUGAAAUUAAUCUACUUUUAUCUACUUCUAUCUAUUCAUAUUAUUUAGGUAAUAAUUACAAUAGAUAUAUAUCCAUGACAAUAUAAUAUAAUAUCUUUUGGACUCACAAAUGCAUCAUCUAUUUUUUAACAUCUAAUGAAUGAUAUCUUUUUUGAUUUUUUUGAUGAUUUUAUUAUUUGUUAUUUAAAUAAUAUCUUAAUCUAUUCUAAGAAUAUAAAAAGUAUAAAUUUCAUAUUUGCCGUAUGUUACAAAAAUUAAGAGUUGUAGGAUUAUAUGCCAAGCUAAAAAAGUGUAUAUUUCACACUACUCAAAUUGACUUUUUAGUAUACAUCAUUACAAACAAUGGUCUUGUGAUGGAUCCUAAGAAGAUCCAAACUUUAUAGAUUAGAAGAUCUCAAGAAUAGUCAGAGAUAAGCAUUAUUUUUUAAAAUUUACUAAUUAUUAUCAAAUCUCCAUCAAAAUUUUUUCUUAAAUUGUAGUCUCACUUAUAUUACUGAUUUAAAAAGAUAAACUUGAUUGGAGCAAAGAAGCUAAAUAAAAUUUUGAAGCUUUGAAGACAACAUUUAUUUCUGGACCAAUUGUCAAGGACAAGAACUCGAUGAAAGCUAAAGAGUAAGUGAGACUUUUCUCAAAAAGAAAUAAGACAAAAUAGAAAUAUGUAUAUUAAGAAAGAAACUGGAAUGGCUAUUGCCAAAAUACAAGAAAACUAGAGACCCUUGAAACUAGACUAGAAGCAAGAAAGGAGUUGACAAGAGUGAAGAGGGCUUCACUCUUGCCUCUAUAUAUACUAUCUAACUAGAAGCCACGUGGCGAUGUUCUAUAAGACCUCCAAUAUAUGUUGACUUUCUAGGCCACAUGCCUUUGCUUGCAAGGCAAGUUUUCUAUGGAUGGACCACGUAGUUAGCUUGUUCUUUAAGCUUCCAACAUGUGUGGCACAUGGCUAACUUGUUGACCAAGUUUCUAACCUAAAAGUCAACUAUAGACUCCUAUAAAGUCAAAGCAGCAUCUAUGAAGCUUCUAAGAAGCUUCUCUAGAAGAUAUUACACAAUUAAUCUACUUUUAUCUACUUUUACAUACUUUUAUCUAUUCAUAUAGGUAAUUAUAUGUAUGUCCGUGACAUUACCCCCCCUUCUAGGAACGAGUUCCACGAGGAGCGGUGAUUAUAUAUUGAAAAAAUCUAAUAUGCGGCGAAUUGUAUUUGCUACAUACUCUGAUCUUUGUUCUCUUCGAAGAUAGUUGAUGGGUCCUCUUAGCCAUCGAUAGUGUCCCAUUCCAGGGCGAGAAGACCACCCUGUUAUUUGAUCACUGUUGAGGCCUUCAGAACUUCCUUCAAAUAAUACAUUUGAAACACCAUCAGGAGUCGUUCCUAUCUCCAAUAAUAUCACCAAACAUCGAGAAUCUCUUCCAAGGUCGUGAUACCAAACGCGUUGUAUCUCACCAUCUAUUCGAGGAAGAACAUGUCGUUCUUGAGGGUCUUCAUCUCGGUUGCGUUGUCUUGAAGGUUGUGACAAUCGCAAUGUCUCAUCCGGUAAGUCAGCAAACGAAGGUUCUUGAGUUGAAUCCGCUGGUUGUUGGCUCUCCAUCUAAUUAGCGUCACAAAAUACAAAGAAGUUACAAACAAAGAUAAGAAAUUGAAUGUUAUCUUGCCUCAAUCUUGUCUCUUUUAUAAGAGAGGUUUUCAUCUUGGUUUUGAUGGAUGUCGUUGAUGAAAAACUUUGACUUUAGCUGAUGCAUUUGCUAGAUUCCUGGAUGGCUCCCAUGUGCGCUCACUAAUAUCAUAUCCGCACCAAUGAACAAGAUAUUCCAGCUUAUUUCGGCGCCGCCUUGAGUCUAAUAUCUCUUCCACCUCAAAUUCUUCAUUAUUAUCUACUUCUAUAGGAGGCGGUGGCAUUUGUCUUCUUCCUUGUAUAUCCACUGUCUUAUAUGGUUCAAGAAGAGAUACGUGGAAUACAGGAUGGAUCUUCAUUGACUCUGGUAGAUGUAACCGAUAUGCAACUGGGUUGAUCUGUUCAGAAACAGAAAAGGGGCCAAGCCUACGAUAGUCCAAUUUAUCACAAGGUCGAGUGGUCUUGAUAUUGCGACGAAGUAGCCAUACCUUAUCACCCACGUUGAGUUGUGGUUGCUCUUUACGAUAUACAUCUGCAUUUAUCUUUUGUCGUUCUUGAGCUUUCUUCAACUGCGCCUUCAUUAUUGCAUGUAACUCUGACAACCGAUUUGCCAUAUCUUCUGCUGCAGGAUUAUCAACUUUUGAAAAAUCAAAAGUAUCAAGUCGUGGAUGAUAGCCAUAAUUGGCAAAGAAAGGUGUUUGUUGCGUGGAGGAAUGUACCGUAUUAUUAUAAGCAAACUCUGCCAAUGGCAGAAGGUUUGUCCAAUCAUCUUGUUGGUAGUUGAUGGUACACCUUAAAUACUGUUCCAAGACUUGGUUUACGCGCUUUGUUUGUCCAUCAGUUUGAGGAUGGAAAGCUGAAGAUAGCUUUAUGUCCACUUUUAAAAUCUUGAAAAGAGUCCUCCAGAAUCUCGACACAAAUUGAGUUCCCCUAUCCGAUAUGAUAUCUUUAGGUAAUCCAUGAUAGCGAUAGAUAUUAUCAAUGAAAAGCUUAGCUGUUUCUUCACCUGUGAUAGAUUUUGUACAUGGCAUAAAAUGUGCCAUCUUGGUGAAACGAUCUACUAUCACAAAUAUAGAAUCAUAAGAUCUUGAGCUUGGAAGAUCUGUGAUGAAAUCCAUAGAAACAGAAGACCAUGGUUGUUCUGGUAUAGGUAAUGGCUGAAGAAGUCCGUAAGGUCGAUGACGAGGAAUUUUUGAUCUUGAACAAAUAUCACAUGAUUGUACAAAGUCUUUGACUGACUUCCACAUUUGUGGCCACCAAAAAUCUCUUGAUAUGAGUUCCAAAGUCUUAUUAUAUCCAAAGUGCCCUGCUGCUGGAAAGUCAUGAUGUGCUUGAAGAACACGUAAACGUGCUUCUCCUUCUGGAACAUAUAGGCAUCCUUCAAAAUAUAAUAGAUUAUUCUUGAACUGGAACUUAGAAGGAUCAUGAGACUUGGAAGAAUUAUUCUCGAUAUCAUAAACAAGAGGGUCUGAGGACAUACUGGACUGGAUUUGCUUGAGAAAAGUUGAAUCAACAGUCAAUGUUGAUUUCAUUGCUCGGAGAUGAAAUUGCUCCGGUUUCAAGAGGACCGUUCUUUGUUGCUCAAAAGCUGCAUCUCCUUCUUUUGGUGCAAAAUAAGAACGUCUAGAUAGGGCAUCGGAUAAACCUUGUUGUUUUCCUGGCCGAUAAGUGAUAAUGAACUUGAAUCUUGACAAAGACAUACUCCAACGAGCUUGACGACGAUUCAACACGCGUGCUGACAUGAAAUACUCGAGGUUCUUGUGAUCUGUAUACACAGUGACUGGACUAGAAGCGCCUUCUAGAUAAUGACGCCAUUCUUGAAAGGAAUCCACGAUCGCAAGAAGUUCUUUAUCGUGGAUCUCAUAAUUGAUCUCGGCUGCUGAGAAUUUUCUUGAAUGAAAAGCUAUCGGAUGAAGUUUGUCAUCUGUUCCCAUUUGUGAUAAAACUGCACCCAAGGCAAAAUCUGAUGCAUCUGUUUCCAUAAAAAAUGCCUUGGAAAAAUCAACACGAUAUAAGACUGGUGCAGAGACAAACGAUGUCUUCAAGGCUUCAAAUGUUGCUUUCGCUUCUUGAUUCCAUUGAAAUUUAUCUUUACUAGUCAAGCGUGUAAGUGGAGCUGCAACUCGUGAGAAAUCUUUGAUGAAGAUCCGAUAGUAAUUGGCAAAUCCCAAGAAACAUUGAACAUCUCUUACUGUCCUUGGAAUCUUCCAAUCCACGAUUGUUUGGACUUUCUUAGAAUCCAUCAUGAGACCAUCAUUUGAAAUGAUGUAUCCUAAAAAGUCAACUUGAGUAGUGUGAAAUACACACUUUUCCAUCUUGGCGUACAAUCCUGCAUCUCUAAGUUUUUGUAAUACUUGACGAACAUGUAUUUCAUGUUCUUCAACAUUCUUAGAAUAAAUCAGGAUAUCGUCUAGGUAGCAGACGACAAAAUUGUCUAAGAAUUCACGAAAUACAUCAUUCAUGAGAUGUUGAAAAGCAGCUGGUGCAUUCGUGAGUCCAAAAGGCAUGACAUUAUAUUCAAAAUGCCCGUACCUGGUUCGAAACGCAGUCUUCCAUUCAUCUCCUUCUUUGAUCCGUACUAGAUUAUAUGCUCCUCUUAGAUCUAUUUUUGUAUAGAUCUUAGCUUGAUUUAACUGGUCAAGGAGUCCUGAUAUCAAAGGUAAUGGAUACCUGUUCUUGAUUGUGAUCUUGUUGAGUCCUCGAUAGUCAACACACAUUCGUAAAGAUCCAUCUUUUUUCUUUACGAAUAAAAUUGGAGCUUCUGCUGGAGAUUUUGAAUGGCGUAUGAAAUUCUUCGCUAAAUUCUCGUCAAUAUAUGUCUUGAGUUCAGCCAACUCAUCUUGCGAUAAACUGUAAAUUGGUCCAAAUGGUGGCAGAGUUCCUUCCUUGAGAUCGAUUGAACAAUCGUAUGGACGAUGCUCAGGAAGAAUAUCUGCAUUCUUUUUCUCAAAAACGUCUUGAUAAUCUUGAUAUUGACUUGGAAUGCUACUUGAAGUCUUUACGCUUUCAGAAAUAGGUGCAGCAUAAAUAGCAAAAGUUGAUCCUUCUUUUGCUGCGUGUAUAAAUGCUUUUGCACCUAUAAGUGCGAGUUUUACUAUACUAGACUCAUGGUUUUUUACUUGAUUAAUAGAACUGUUACUAAUGCUCUGAGGAAAAUCAAGUUUACGAGAAAUCCAAUCUAUUCGAGGAUUAUACUUUUCUAACCAUGAUAAGCCUAAAAUUACUGGAUUAGAGGGAGAUCUAAUUAUAUUAAAAAUUACGCAACUACUAUGACCAUUUAUUACUACAUCUACAGGAAGUGUUUCGUGAGUUACAUCUCGAGAAGACAACGGACGACCAUCUAUGACUUCUACGUGUACAGAUUUAGUUUUUUGUAUUAAUGAUAUUCUAUGACAUCUAGAAAAUUCUUCAUCUAAAAAACAAGAUGAGGCUCCUGAAUCUACCAAGGCAGAGGCUUUGUAAUUAUUAGGUCCUAAACGCACAUCUAUUAUAAAACAAGGAGAUGGUUCUGAGGAGAGGAUAGGACCUUCAUUAGAAGUUGUACAAGAUUCCAGCCGCACGGUCCCUAUUGUAGCUGGACGUACUCGUUUUCCGACAUACUGUCUUCUUUGACAACCGUACUCCUCAUUUUGUAGUUACGUCGCUUCUUUGGACAAUGUUGAGCAGUGUGCUUAGGUUCUCCACAAUAUAAGCACAACCCUUCUUGUCGACGACGAGACUUUUCUUGCUCAGUAAGAGGUUUGAAACGUACCGCAUCAAUUUGCAUAUCCUCUACUUCUGAAGGUAUGUGUUGAGGAGACGUCGGUGAUGCCAUUGAAUUGUAGUAACGUUGAGGCCUACUUGUGCGACUCUCGGAUCGAAAUUCAAAAAAUGGAUUGUCGUACUUCACAGCAAAGUCAAUUGCUUGACUCAAUGUUUGAGGAUCAGGUAAAUUAAGCAUCAAUUUCUUUACCUCAUAUUGUAAUCCGUAGAAAAAUUGACUCACAAGUGCGGCAUCAUCCCACUUGAUAUCAGUUGCAAGUUGUCGAAAUUACGAAGCAUAUAAUGUUACUGAUCGAUUGCCUUGUCGCAAAAUACGGAUCUUGUUGGUUGCAACACGAAUUACAUCAUGUUCUCCAAACAUGGAUCGAAACUCCGCCAAAAAAUCCUCCAGAUUAUCCAAUAUUGGAUCUCGUCGUUCAAGAAAAGAUGAAAACCAUGACAAUGCUGAACCUGAAAGAAGUGUACCAAUGAAUCUAACUUGUGACCCUGGAGUUGGAUAGCUCUAGGGUUGAAGUUCAAUCACUAGUUGGACCUGAUUGAUGAAUCCUCGAAACUUGGAUCUGAUACCAUCAAACUUCUCGGGCAAGGCAACUCUCGGUUCUCUAACACUCGAAGGGUGUUCCAUUCUGGGAGAAGGGACAUGGUUUGGUGUAGAUGUUGAAGCAGCCCCAAUCAUCUCUAUAUCUUCACUUCCUACCAUUCUUGUUGCUCCUUGUGGUAGUAAAUUGAGUUGAUGCAUCGCAAGCAUUAACUCCCUCAAUUGUUCUUGCAUCUGUGCCAUUGCACUCUUCAUUUCAACAAGCUCUGCCAUAGUAGCACUUAGAAAAGAGAAGAUGUCUAAUAACGCUCAAAACAAAUAGAAGAGAGGAAUUGAUAACAAAGAAAAUACUAAGAACAAUAUCAGUUUAAAAGAGGGUAAUCCGCAACUUCUAAUGCACUUAUGUCUUAUCAAAAAAAAGGGGUAAUCCACUCUUAAUCAAGAAAAGACAAAGCUCUGAUAUUGUAAGUGCACUCUUGUCAAUCUGUCAAGGACAAGAACUCGAUGAAAGCUAAAGAGUAAGUGAGACUUUUCUCAAAAAGAAAUAAGACAAAAUAGAAAUAUGUAUAUUAAGAAAGAAACUGGAAUGGCUAUUGCCAAAAUAUAAGAAAACUAGAGACCCUUGAAACUAGACUAGAAGCAAGAAAGGAGUUGACAAGAGUGAAGAGGGCUUCACUCUUGCCUCUAUAUAUACUAUCUAACUAGAAGCCACGUGGCGAUGUUCUAUAAGACCUCCAAUAUAUAUUGACUUUCUAGGCCACAUGCCUUUGCUUGCAAGGCAAGUUUUCUAUGGAUGGACCACGUAGUUAGCUUGUUCUUUAAGCUUCCAACAUGUGUGGUACAUGGCUAACUUGUUGACCAAGUUUCUAACCUAAAAGUCAACUAUAGACUCCUAUAAAGUCAAAGCAGCAUCUAUGAAGCUUCUAAGAAGCUUCUCUAGAAGAUAUUACACAAUUAACCUACUUUUAUCUACUUUUACAUACUUUUAUCUAUUCAUAUAGGUAAUUAUAUGUAUGUCCGUGACACCAAUCUUGUAUUGCAUUGAUUUUUUCAAGGCAUUCUUCAUAAAAAAAAAUGCAUUAAAUUUUACUAUGGAUAUUCUUAUUGUAAUGUAAUAUGAUUAAUAAAUGAAAGAGAGAAGAAAAUAUUAUGUUAUAGAAGAUCUUAUUUUAAAAUAUUAUAAUAAAUUAUCUUAAAAAUAUAGAUAUUAGUCAAAAGAUAAUAAAACUAAAAAGUGUUAAUAUUGCCUUCUUUUCAAAUAUGCUUCUAUUUAGUUUGUAGUACCAUAAAUAAAAUAGAACAAAGUAGGUUGGAAAAUUAAAUAAUAUAGGCAUAUGAAGAAUAGAGUUAAGAAUAGAUUUUAGCAAAUUUUACUUCAAAAGACCAAGAAUUGAUACUUAAAGAGAAUCGGUUGUCAACUUAGAUUGAAAUCAAACCUUAAGACACAAAAUUACACACAUAUGAUGACUUUAUGAUUCUUUUCUUGAUCAAAAAGUGAAAUUUGAGAGAAAACUUAAAAAAAGAUUUUUAGAAAUUAUUUUGAUGUCGUUUGCAUGAAUAUUGAUAUUUUGAAAGAUUUUCAAAGUUAAUAAUGUUCUUAGUAGAAUUAAGAUUUGAGAAAUAAAAAUAUGUUAAUAAAUUUGAGGUUUUCUUGAGUUUUGUGGUGUGUAUAUAAGUGUAAUUUGGAUAGUGUAUUGGUAUACUAAUUGAAAAUAUAUAUACAAAUUUUGAAGUCAACUAAAUAGUUAGAUUGAGGUAUAUAAAGGAUUUUGUGGGUUGAGGUCUCAAGAAUUAGAGUUUGAAGGUUAGUGAGUAUUUCUAAAAUCUUCAAUAAUUUGUCAAUUGGAUUUAAGUGGAUUUUUUUUUUAUGGAUAGAAGAUUCAAUUUUCAAUGUUUGAAUGAAAUUUGAAAGAAAUUUGAUAAUUUUAAAAGUAGAUAUUUCCAUUAAAAAUUUAGUAUUUAAGUUGGAAUAGGAGGCUACUCAACACCUAAUUAGAUUAUCGAGAAUUUCUUUCAAUUGGUAAGUGCAAUCAAUUUCAUCUUUUUUGUGCUUGUUUCUAAUUAAAAUAUUAAAAAUUAUAAAGAUUUUGAAUUGAUAUCAAUAGUUUGAUCAUUAUUUUUUGAGUUUUUUUUUUGCAAUAAGAUUUGCUAAGAAUUUGUUUAAGAUUGAGGAUUUGAUUAGGAUUUGAUUUAAAACUUAUUUAGGAUUUUUUUACGAUUUAAGAUUUGAUUAGUAUUUGAUUAGGAUUUGAUCUAGGAUUUGAUUAAGAUUUAAUUAAAGUUUUAAUUAAGAUUUUAUUUAGGAUUUGAUUAAGAUUUAAUUAAGAUUUCAAUUGGUAUUAUAUUAGAAUUUUUUUUUUAGUAUUUUCUUAUGUAUCUUUGCAUUUCUUUUGUAACUUCUUUAAAAUUUAUUUUAACAAGCUAAAGUUUGAUUGGAUUUAUUAGAGAUUAUUUGAAGUUUAUUUAAGACUCUAUUAGACUUAAUAGAAUUAUUUUUGAAUUUUCAUUACAUGCUUGAUAUAUUCUGUAGAAUAGAUAUUAGUAUGUUUUUGUAAGAUAUUGAUAAAAUAGACUAAUAGUCCAUAGAAUAGUUAAUUCAAGAGGACGGAUGAUUAACUUAGUUAUUAAAAGUAAUUAAUUAUAAGAUUAU